CUUAUCGCGAACAUAAGUAGUAGUCCUCAAUUCUUUGCUGCGUUUUGCUUACCUCUGUUCUUCUGCAACCUUCUUCAAAUAUAGGAAAAAUACUCAUUUAACACUAAUUUUAACCUCUCAUUGCCCAUUCCAAUGAUAAUCUUUUUCAAGAGCCCAUUUGAAUAUAAUAAAGUAACUUCUUUUGUGUCUAAAUGAACAAAUCUGCAAUAAAAGUCUUAACAAACCAUAUUAUUUGAAGUCUAUCCUCACCCCCUUAAAUAAGCAUAGAGAGAGAAAAUUAAAGAAAGAGAAGACUUGACUGGAACCUCGAACUCCGUUCACCGAUUACCGGACUCCUGUCACCGGUCACAAGAAACUGGUCACCAAAAUCUCGUUGGACAUCGAAAGCCGGUUGUUGGAAUCUCACCGGACUUUUUAAAAAGUCACCGUACCUUGACGAAACCAUACCAUACGCUUAGUGGAAGUUUAUUGAGGGGUAGUAAGGUUGAAACAUAUUUUAUUAGGAGCAGUAAACUUUUACCGGUUAGCUCAAUUAAAUGAAAUCUCACAAUAAAAGGUUUAUUGUGUGGGUGGGUUUUUUGGGGGGGGGGGGGGGGGGAGGUAAAUGUUGUGAAGAUUAUACUAACCCCCAAUUAAUGUUUAUUAACCCCUACAAACGUUAGAAAAGAAAGGUUUAACCUUCUUGUAACUCCCGCAAUCCACAUCAAAACAUGUUUAUUGGGGGGUAAACGUUUAGAAAAAUUUUAUUGUCCCCCGAUAAACAUUUAUUAACCCUAAUAAAUGUCAGAAAAAUGAAGCUUUGACCUUGUUACUACCGUAAAUCUCCAACAUAAUAAUCCGAAAAGAUUUAUUGAAGGAGAGUAUAUUCAGUACACAACAUGUAACUUCACAUACAUAUAUGGAUAGUCAGGAUUAGAGGAAAUAAUAUAGAAACAUGGUGGUCAAACAUAUGAAUUGUUAUAAAUGGUUAAGACUGCGUCGUGUAAAUACACGUCGUGCAUACAAGAAUUUCCAUAAGCUAAUAAACAAUUUAUUAGGGGUAAUAAAUUUUGAGAAAAAAUUACUACUCCCAAUAAAAUGUUGAAACACUACUGUGAGGCCCACAAAACCUCUAACCAGCUGUCAAGGGCCCAAACCCAAACCAGAAAAUUGCUCUGGGCACCCAAAGCUAGCAACCCGACCACUUACCGACCGUCGUUGGCGGACGACCUUAAGCUUCCUCCUAACUUCCGCUGCCGCCUCCAAUCUCUUGCGCUAGUGCCUUAAAUCCGUAACAACAGAUCUUCAACUUCUUCCUCGUCGGAAAAGCGUCGCCGAUUCGCUGCCUCAGAGUCGCAAUCCCAAAGCGAAUACCUCCUGAUCUCCUUCGUCCAAUCCGAGAUCGAGUCUCAGCUGAGUCGCCAUUGUCGGUGGCGAUGAUGGUGAGGAGAGUGAUUUAUAGGAGAUGGGCCGUAAAUUCUUAAACUUAACAAUUAAGGGGGUUUCAUCCCAUUUGCACCAACGAUUGAAAUAUAAUAUCAAUACUUUCAUUGUUAAAUAUGAUCAAACUCUGAUUAAUAGAGACUAACUGAUACCAUAGUAAAAUUCAUAGUUAUGAGUCAUAACUUAAUUAAAACAAAUCACAAGGAAAGGAAUCUAAGAAAUAAAAGGAAUACUUCCUAAUAAGCCUAGGAGAUACAUAAAUUAGGGGGUGUAUUCAAUUAGGAAUAUGUAGGAUUUUUUUUGUAUUUUGAAAGUCUUUUAAAAUCUGAUCGUAUUCAAAUAAGAUUUUAAACAGUCUGUUAAAAUCUUGUGGUAUUCAAUCGUGAUUUUAGAAAGUCUUUUAAACUAUAAUGGUAUUGAAAACUCCGUACAUUUUCACGGAUUCUAUUUUUGAGAUUCCGAACUGAAUAGACCUCAAGGACGAACUCGAUCCUCUUUCAACUGGUUUUACGAAUAAUAAAGAGAACAACUCUACAGCGAUUGACCAAUCUAUACAGUCUCGGAGCAAUGACAAUGGUGGUCUCAUCUUCAGAUCUCGACCUCGAUAGAGCAGAAUCCAUCAAAGGUUUGAUUCAUAACCCUUAACUCGAUUGCCCCCUUUUUGCUUUGCUCAAAAUUGAAAAGGUAGGGAUUUCCCCGAUUCAGAAAUCGUAAAACACUAGAGACUAGAAACCAAAAUGAAAAACUGAUCUGAGUGAUUAAUGGAUAGAGUCAUGGUUAUGAGAGCAUAUGCUAUAUUGUUGACAGAUUGAUACAAUGCGUCAUUAGAUUUAUGGGGUGGAAUUAUCUGUAAUUUGGCCUAUGAAAUUUAGUUUUGCUACCAUCAAUACACAGAUUUUUUUUUUUUUUUUUUAAUUUUUUAUGUAUUGAUUGGUUUCUAUAUAUCUAACAUUCUACUAGCUUAGGCCUUAAAGAAAGCUUAAACCCAGAAAAACAACAUAGAUCGGUGGACAAGAAUGAUCCAGGACACACAGAUUGAUUGAAAUAUGAGAGGACUAUUAGUGGAAUCCAUAGCAAAUGUAUAAUACUGUAAUAUAUAUUGGCAUUGAAGUGAAUGGUUCUAUGAGUAACUUGUAAAUAUUACUAGUAAGCCAGCCCCCAACCUCUAUACUUUCUGUCCCAAGAGCUGAAGUGAGUGGUUCUAUGGUCUCCCGGUGCCUCUUUAUCCCUAGCAAUUUUGUAUGGGAAUUAGUUGCUAGGUGCUGUUAGUUUUUUUUUGAUACAGCUACUGUAGUUUUUCUCUCUAGUGUCUUUUAUGCUUUUCUAGCUAGUUUGUUGUUGUUUUUGGUUUUAAGCUAGGCUCCUGUAUUCCUUGUUAACUGUAAGUUGUAGGCUCUUUGCCUGUUGGCUUCUAUGAAAGUUUCUUUCAGACCACAAAAGAAGAAGCUCGUAACUGAGUAUUAUAUCAUGUGAUUAUUUGCGUCUGUUGUUAGAGACUUAUGAGAAGGAACGGACCUAGAAUGGCGGUGGAAGUGUCAACUAUUGCCUAACAGUGAGGAAAUCACAACUACAAUGUUGCAUUUUCUCAUACAGGCAAAUCUAGAGGCAAGUGUUAGUGUUUGUAUAGUCAACGUUGUGCUUAGAUUUUCAUUUCGUAAUUCGUUAUAUGAAUGUGAUGUGGGCAGGUAGACAAAUAGUUUGAAUUAGAAAUCUAAAAUUUAAACUUCGUUGUUGGAACUUUGGAGUUUGAUAAUCAUGUUAGGCAUGUUAAAUUUGAUGACUCCCCUCAAUAUCUUUCUUACUAGUCAUGGAUAGUGAUAAGAACCUCAACAACUUUACAUGCCUCAAAGAUCCAUAACUUUACUUUGGUAGGCUUUAUAGUCAUAAGUGUUUUUGGUGUGUACAGAAUUCUUUGAGGUACCUCAGCAACUUUUACAUGCCUCAAAGAAUCCAUAUACAACAAUUUUACUUUGCUAGGCAUGACUGUUUUUGGUGUGUAUUAUCUACUUUGAGGAACCUCAGAAAUUUUAUAUUUUGAAGUGUAAUUUUCUUUCUAGUCAUCAUAUUUGGUUGAUUAGCAGGGUAUGUUUUGUAUAAAGAAAAUUCUUCAACUUUACAGUGGAGGUCAUGUUAUAGUUAAAUUGCCUUUUCGACCACUAUCAUUUUUAUUUAUAUGAUCAUAGGCUCGAAUGAAUCACUUCAUUGAGUACUAAUGCAUACUGGAUUUCAUCACCAUGAUCUAUUCUACUUCUCAUUUAAUUUCCAAGUCAAAUUACACUAAUAUUUGGAGGACUAAUGAAGUGGCCUUGGUGGAAUGGUGGUGUUACAGGAAGAAAAAACUCAAUGGAGUUGGAAAUUGGAAGAUGAACAAGGCAGAUGAUUUUAUCUUGCAUCAAACUUUUUAUAUUGGUUUCUCUCAAGCUUCCUCUACACAAGUACAGAAGCAAAUAUAUGUUGAUAUCAAUUUGUCAUUAGGAGCGAUAAACUGAAAUAAUUGUUUUCUCUUUGUCUACUACAUACACUUAUCCACGCCCUGAAUUAUGAUAAAUGUGUAAAUGUCACAUGUUUGUCAAUGGAAAUUGGAGUAAAUACUUGUGACACCCUGUAGUUUACACCUAAAAUCAGUUUUGUCCCUCACUUUUUUUUAAAACCGGUAUACUCAUAUACUUUGAAUUCUCGACUGAUUUGCCCUUGUCGUCAAUUGAACCGUUAAAGAAGACUGUUAAGUUGCUGAGAUAACCGGUCCUACGAUUCCAACUCAGCUAGAAACCUGCCACAUCGACAUAAUAUGUCUAAUAUACCCCUGACUCUAUUCCCCCCCCCCCCCCCCCCCUUUUACUCAAUCAUAUUUUCCCGCCAUCUUGUUGGGAAAAUAGCUGACUCUAUUUCCCCCCUAUAUCGACAUAAUAUGUCCAAUAUUUUCCCACAUCGACAAUGUUGCAACCUCGACAAGGUCUUCUAAAAGGGUUAGGCAGAAUUCAAGUAGAGGAAAUGACAAAUAGUUGUUCUAGCGAUGAACAUUGUGUUAGCUGGAGCCAUCUUUUUGUUCAGCGUUCUAAUCUUUUGGGAAUAUUCAACUCGAUAGGAUCUUUAGAACUAUUUUGUCAGUGAUGUUAGGGGCUCCGUGAUGUUGCUCGUUUUGUAGUUCAACCUUGUGCAAACAUUAUUGAGCUGCUCAUUUAGUGAUAUUGAAUUUCAGAUAUUGAAUAUUAAGAUGUUGAGAUGUUCAUCUACUGAUGUUAAUUUUUAGAUGUUGAUUUUGUGCUUGUUCAUAGUUUGUUGUUGAUUUUGAAAUGAGAUUACAUAUGUUGAUUUUCGGGUUUUGUAAACAGUAUAUCCCUUUGUGUUCAACUUCCACUGAAUGAAUGACAAUUUCAAUGAAAAGCUCUCUAAAUAACAGAGCUACACACACAUUUUUGACUCAUUUGGCGGGAAAAUAUGAUUGAUAAGGGGGGAAAUAUAGUCAGGGGUAUAUUGGACAUAUUAUGUCGAUGUGGCAUGUUUCUAGCUGAGUUGGAAUCGCAGGACCGGUCAUCUCAGCAACUUAACAGUCUUCUUUAACGGUCAAUUAACGACAAAGGCAAAUCAGUCGAGAAUUCAAAGUAUAGGGGUAUACCAGUUUAAAAAAAAGAAGUGAGGGGCAAAAUUGAUUUUAGGUGUAAACUACAGGGUGUCACAAGCAUUUACUCCAUGAAAAUUUGUGUAAAUGUCACAUGUUUGUCAAUGGAAAUUUGUGGUAUAGUUCAUUAUGAUUCUUACAGUAAGAGUACUGUCUAACUUCUUAUAAACCAUGUGCUUUGAGUUGGAUAUCUAGAAUAUUACUGCAAAAAUUGUUGCUGCUAAUAUCCAAAAAAUGGGCAAUUGCCCAAUUAUGUUCCCAUGUAGAUUAUUGUUUUAUAGAAUAUAUAAGCAGCGGGAUAUGAGCAAUUGCACCGUAAAAGUCUAGUAACACAAUAUACUGAAAUCUAUUAAAAUCCAAACAAAUCUUGGUCAUAGAAUACAUUAAAAUCUGUUCAACUCUAUAUGGAAUUAAAAGAAUUUAUGGAGUCUACAUAAUCAAUCAAUGAGAAUGAAGUUAGACAAAAUCAUUUAAAAUCUGUGGAGUCUUCAAUAGGAUUGAGAACCUGCCCAACGAACAUCACCGUUUUAGUCGCUUCUUCUCUGAUCAGAUAAAGGAACGGGUGAUCUGCCACAAAAUCUAUCGGAGGAGGAGGUACCGGUUUUCCAGCACUGCACAUCGUUCCAGUUGCCGUCACAGCAGCAGCUUCUGUGCCUUUUUCAUUAACUUCAGUGAAGGCUUUGUGGAAUAUUAGCGAAACAUGCAAGGGCUCAGGUGGGUCCACCAUCUCUGUCAAACCUCCAAGAGAGAAUCCCAAAGUCUGCAGAAGUUUGGAAGCCUCAAAACCACAAGAAAUCUUAAACUUUGGGAUUAAGAAUCUACCAACCGGAACUUUAUGGUCGGGAAGAUGGCUAUCUAUAAACUUGACGUUGGAGCAAAACUGCUCGAUCAAAGCUCGCAGCCCGUUUCUUGCAUUUGGAAGAAAGAUGUACAUGGAGAACUCUCUCUCAUAAUCUUUACCUUGUUUGUAGGGAAGCUUCAAGACUUUGAAGGUUUCGAAUUCACUUACGUACUGAUACAACCACUUUGUCCUCAUGAAGUGUGCCUUAACUGAGCCCGCAUUAUCGAGAAGGUGAAAGUUACGCACUCUUGUAUAUGAUGCAUCAAACUCCUUAUCCCAUUCUCCUUUGAAGUAUAAAGCAUUUGCAAGGAUGACCCUUGUUGCGGAGGAAACUGAGCCAAAGGGGAGAAUGCUUUUGAUGAGACCCUUGGUUUCCUUUUCCCCCCAGGAAUUCACUUCACGUCGCACUUCCUCUGGCUCGGUCUUGAAAUCAACUUGUUUCAAGGCCGCCUUGUAAUCAUUGUCCAAUACCUAAGAUCAAAGUUACAUGAUAAGAUAUCUAUCUGCAACAAAGUAUUAGUAAAUAUGUCAAAUUCGGACUACAUACAUUUUUGAAGGCAGGUUUGAUAGAGAGAGAUUGGUCUAUCCAAACCCCAUUGGCGAAUGACAAGAGAGGACCGCCGAGUUUGGAUCCAUCGGCAAAGACUAGUGGAACGACAUUGGAGGCUAUAGUGUUGAGCGCGUCUAUGGACUUGGACUUGAGGAAACUGAGCAUCCCUUUUUGGAUGGAACCCUUGGCCCCAGCAGCUAUCAUGCUAAGAACCACAUGAAUGGACAGCGGCGAGAACACAACGUUCUUGUCCUUAACUUUUUCAUUGAGAAGCAGUUGCUUUGUGAUAUCUAGUGCGACGUUGGUUUGGUCCUGAAUGGAUUUUGAAUGGAUUUUCUUAGAGACUCUGAUACUUUGAAUGAAGGUCGUGGUGGAUAUGAGAAUGGGAAUGGGAAUCGACCGAAUCGUGCAGCCAUGCUUCUGUGGAAGAUUUUAGAUAAACAACAUUACCAAACAAUACUCUUCGAGAAAUUAAUAUUAAACAUAUAUAAACCAAUACAUGCAACUUUUGUAACCAUAAAAUUCAUCGAACAAACUUUUGUAACUAAAAUUUGCCUCUUCUUUUUUUCCUAAGAAGAAUAUAUAAUUCUCACAAAGUCAUAACCAGCAUAUAAUAGUCUAACGUACAACAUCUAAGUUUCUUCUAUGACCAGAACAUUCAAAGAAGAAAUCCACGUUAGACAAAACCAAUUAUACAUAUCCUUACGAUUUCAAGAGCAAAUAAAAAAACUAGUAACACAGAAAGAGAGAUAUAGAGUUUGCUCACCAAUUAGAAUAGUAGAACCCGGGAAUUUGUUUCUCUGAUCGCCUUCAACUUUUGUGUCUCACAAUUUUUGAGCCUCUUGUUCUCCAUGACCAUCCCCUCUUUUAUAUGUGAUUAAUUGAUCAAUUGGGUUUAGGGUUUAGGGUUUAGGCCCAAAUCAAAAGAACACAAGGAAAAUACCAAUUCGGGCCACUCAGAGUCUGGCCCAAAAGUAACAGUAACCAGUUAAAGGCUUAAAGCUCUUCUCAAAAAAAGGAAAAAAGAAAAAGAAAAAGGAAGAGCAAGUUUAGCUAUGUAAAAUGACUCAUUAUUGCAGAUAAGGUGAGAAAUUGGUUCAUACAAAAUUAUAUGCACAGGCAUAAGCAGAAUAAUCAAACUACAAGAGUACAAAUAGAUCACAAAUAUGUUUUAUUCACACUUCAAUUAAAAUUCAGUACAGUACAAUUAUCUCCAAACAAAAAACAAACAAAAAGUUACACAGUUUGUUACCAUGACUAAUUUCUACACCAUUUAUUCAAGGUAACAGUAUGGUUACUUUCCCACAAUGAGUUUUGCUCUUGCGUGCCCCUCAUUUAUCUGGAACUGCUCCCCUAUGCCAAAAUGAGCCAUCACUAACCAAACAAAAGUGACAAGCUCUCCCCCUUUGCUUAGCAGUUGGGCAUGGUCAUUUGCUCGGCAAUGACCUGCUGCAUAUGCUAGUAGUUCCACCCACACUUCACACAUCAGAUCCCAUUUCUUUUUGUCCAUACUUUUUAGUUGUUUUGCUAGAAUACAUGCAUCAAACAACACGGAUUUACUUCGAUCCCCUUUGACAUCAACUGGCUGAACAUCUGUAUUUACCUCAAGAAUUCUAUCACAUGCGUCUUUUUGAUUCACUUCUGGUCCUAGUUCCCUUCUGCUGAAGAACUUUAUGGCUUCUGCACACGUAUCGCGGAAUCUUAUUUGUCCAAUUCCUGCUACAGAUGACAUCAUAGUAGGCUGCAUAACUAAGAGGUAUACCAUGUAAUCAGACAAGGUCUUGCAGUGUUCAAUUUUAGUGAGAACAGCCUUGUCUUUUGGAUCAGUACUGUCAAUAAGAACCUUGUAUUUUGGAUCAUUACUGUCAAGAUUAUAACAAAACUCAGUAGCAAUGUGCCACAGUAGAAUGCUCUGAUCAUAUUCAACAUCAACAACAUAAGAGAGCAACUUACGGCAAUCCUCAGAAUUAUUCCACUCACUAUCCUGUAGAAUCCAGUCACCUCUGGCCGAACUUAUUCUCCUGGCAGUUUCAGGAUCAUCUGCGAGCAUGGACUUACUUUUCAACUGAGCAAAAAUGAAUUUCCAUAGCUCUUUUUCGAGUGGCUUGCUGGUCCUAUAUUUGAUCUUAUCUCGAAGAUCCUUAAGACCAAGCAAGUAUAUGACAUUGAUGUAGGCCUUGAAAAUGUAAUCAAAAAUAUUAGGACUCAGUUUUGGACAUUCCUUGAGGGAAUAAUGUAUCAAGUUAAAUAUAGAGACAGACUCAUACCACCUUCGAAAUAGAAGUUGCCUACACCACUCCAAACAUGGAUUUGCAUUUUCUGUAACGAACCACCUAGAUUGCUUGAGAGUUAUGUACCUUUUGAGCAUAUUGGCUAGGCAAGAAUUUUGGCAAGACUUGCGCACAGCAGCAACAGUCCAGUCGGAGAAUAUAAGCAUGAACACUGCUAUUGAAUCCAAGGCCAAGGCACCGAAAAGUAAAGUAUAGGUAAUUCCAACAUCAAAGCCAUGGAAAUCAUGUUUCUCUAUUUUUUGGAAGCAAACAAGAGCUGUGCAAACUGCACUGAAGGAUAUAGCUCGGCAUAUGUAUCCCCACUUAGAAUGCACAACCACCACCUUGGUGAAUAGAGCUUCAUACAUGAAAUUGAGCUCAAUUGCAACCAAUUUGAAAGCGUCCUCUGCAUUUCUGUCAUGGAAAAACUCACGGCUCUCAAAACGCUCAUGAAAGCUGAAAAUGAGAUCCACGAUAAGACCCUUGAAGAUGUUGAAGAAGUGAAAGGCAUGGCGCACCAGUGCAAUAUUAUUUUCCAUAUCUCCAACGUCCACCACAUAAGUAGUAGUCCUGGAUUCUUUGCUGCGCUCUGCUGUCAACUCUAUAUGAGUUGGAAGUUUGGCAUCUUUUUUGGAAGAGUAUUCCUCCAUCAGCUUUGCAUAGUUGGGUCCAGGGUCUGGUUUCUUAAGCAUGGACUCCUUGAAAUUAUCCAAGCUUGCUUUGUACAAAGCACGUGUGCGCUCGGCAUACUUGAUGAUUCCUGCUACAAAUAGGAGAACCGUCGGCAGCCACAGCUUGUUUUUGGGAAAUGAUUGGAUGAAAACAUAAAAUGCAGCUAUAACCUGGAACACAAGCCCAAACAAGUGCCUUAGCCACAAUGUGUUAUCCUCAAGAGCAAAUGCUGUUAUGGUGUCUGGACCACCAAGGUGUAACAGAAGAAAUGGUGCCCAAAAUGCCAGAAGAUCACUGUUAAAAUCACCAUUGUUGUUGGGGGCUCGAACAAAAGGAUUGUCACCCUGACUGUUUGCAAUUAAGCCAAUCGCAAAGUUAGCUGCCCAGUCAGCAAGCAAGUAAGAUGACCAGAUAACAAAGGUUACAAAUAAGUUAGGAGAUCGCUUUCGGAAGGGUGCACCAAGAAUUAGAGCAGUUUGCAAUGAGAGGCUGAGGAGUACAAAGCCCCGGAGAUUCCACUUUUCCCAUAUCUUCUUGACAUUGAUAGGAAUGGGAGAAACCAUUGGUCCUCUCUUUCUUUGACUCCCUUGUCUUUUCUUCCACACCACUGAAGAACAUUACAGGUUUAUAUUAGUUAAUUGAGCAAAAGGAGAUGGGAUUUUUUGGAUUGCAAAAGCAUAAACUUCAUUUUGAAAUCUCUAGUUCUUUCCUAAAGGGGUGUGAUCAGAAGAAGGAUAUCUAAAAGGUGCUGUUUGAUCCUAUAGUUGAGGUUUAUACUACAAAGGAUGAAAGCCUGGUUAUAGUAUGUUAAAGAUUAAACAAAAGCAACAAAACUGAUUGAACCUCUCCAAAGAUUACAAUCCCAUGAUUCCCAUCGUUACUAUAAUAGUACUCUAACAACAAAACUAAUUGAGAUAGAACUGUUUUCCCCCAAGAAUCAAAGAUCAUAGUAAACAUAGACAACUUCAAGUAGGAAAACAAUUCUUCUGCAAUGUGAACAUUGGUUCUUCUUAACUGAGAGUUUGAUAUAUCGCAAUAAUAGUGCAAUACCCAAUAUUAAAAACAAUCAACUUGCAGAGAAAUAGCAAGGAAUAUGCAGAUGAUGACCAACACUGUGUCUUCUAGAUGGAUCAGCUACCUUAGUUGACAUGGUUGGGCAUAAUGUAGAAUGUGUUCAACAGUUGAAUUGUACAGACAACCAAAGAAAAGCCACUACCAAUUGACAGUUGAUGAAUCAAAGAAAAGAAACACAUCAGAAAAUGAAGAUAAGUGAAGCAGAACCUGAUGGGUUGGGAAGUCAAAUCACGAAGCAAUCAAGCUGCCCAGAAGAGUAAGAGAGUCUGCUUCGUUUCCUGCUGGUUCAGUUGAAGUUGAACAGAUACUUCUCAGUCUGCUAGGAGUCAACUGUGAAGUCUUCUGUUUUUUUUUGGUCAAGCAACUGUGAAGUCUUCAUUAUACUUGAAACCAGUUUCUCUGACUUUAAAUAAGAUCAGGAAGCUCCUAACAUCUUGGUGUCCCAUCUGAGCUGUAAAAGUAACAAAAAAUUAUGCAAAGUUAAAAGGAAAUACAAAAUUCCAAAAUGGAUGACUUGAAGGUCACAGACAAGCCUCAGUGUUAUUUAAACUAUGCACAUGUUCCAGUGUUAAUGUAGAAUUAGCUAUGUCUUGGUUAAUUAAAAUUAUAACCAUGAUUCACGUGCAUUUGAUAUUUAACUUGGCAAUUUUGUUAUGCUACCUUUUAUGAGUCAUAUCAACUAUCAAAUCCAGGUUAUGAUUGAUUAGAAUCAUACUGGCUACAAGAAUGGCAUAACUUUUGCUUUCUCUUAUUACUCUUUUCUCAGCUUGUGGUGGACAAUUGGUAUAACUAAUCUAGGAAAUUAUACUAUAUACUAAACCAUGGUUAACUGUUCAUACCAUAAGCAUAUGAACAGUGUUUAAAAGUUUUUUUUUUUUUUUUUUUCUUGAAACAUAUAAUUUAGAUAUUUUUAGAUAGGCUCUCUCUUGGUAAAGAUUUUUUUGCCCUCCAUUUUUGACUUUUCUUCUACAUCCUGAAUUUUACAAAUCAAAAUAAUUAGAGCAUUUAUAUUUUGGGUAGAAUACAAGAUUAGAUGUUUUAUUGUAUAGAAAUUAUUUUUGUGAUAGCUCUUAUACAUAUGUAGAAUAUGCUUAAUGUGGAUAUUACACCGCGCCAAAUGGCAGGUAUACUAACCAUUUUGCCUCUGUUAUUUUUAAGAAACCAUGAUAUUGCCAUUAACCUUAAANNNNNNNNNNNNNNNNNNNNNNNNNNNNNNNNNNNNNNNNNNNNNNNNNNNNNNNNNNNNNNNNNNNNNNNNNNNNNNNNNNNNNNNNNNNNNNNNNNNNNNNNNNNNNNNNNNNNNNNNNNNNNNNNNNNNNNNNNNNNNNNNNNNNNNNNNNNNNNNNNNNNNNNNNNNNNNNNNNNNNNNNNNNNNNNNNNNNNNNNNNNNNNNNNNNNNNNNNNNNNNNNNNNNNNNNNNNNNNNNNNNNNNNNNNNNNNNNNNNNNNNNNNNNNNNNNNNNNNNNNNNNNNNNNNNNNNNNNNNNNNNNNNNNNNNNNNNNNNNNNNNNNNNNNNNNNNNNNNNNNNNNNNNNNNNNNNNNNNNNNNNNNNNNNNNNNNNNNNNNNNNNNNNNNNNNNNNNNNNNNNNNNNNNNNNNNNNNNNNNNNNNNNNNNNNNNNNNNNNNNNNNNNNNNNNNNNNNNNNNNNNNNNNNNNNNNNNNNNNNNNNNNNNNNNNNNNNNNNNNNNNNNNNNNNNNNNNNNNNNNNNNNNNNNNNNNNNNNNNNNNNNNNNNNNNNNNNNNNNNNNNNNNNNNNNNNNNNNNNNNNNNNNNNNNNNNNNNNNNNNNNNNNNNNNNNNNNNNNNNNNNNNNNNNNNNNNNNNNNNNNNNNNNNNNNNNNNNNNNNNNNNNNNNNNNNNNNNNNNNNNNNNNNNNNNNNNNNNNNNNNNNNNNNNNNNNNNNNNNNNNNNNNNNNNNNNNNNNNNNNNNNNNNNNNNNNNNNNNNNNNNNNNNNNNNNNNNNNNNNNNNNNNNNNNNNNNNNNNNNNNNNNNNNNNNNNNNNNNNNNNNNNNNNNNNNNNNNNNNNNNNNNNNNNNNNNNNNNNNNNNNNNNNNNNNNNNNNNNNNNNNNNNNNNNNNNNNNNNNNNNNNNNNNNNNNNNNNNNNNNNNNNNNNNNNNNNNNNNNNNNNNNNNNNNNNNNNNNNNNNNNNNNNNNNNNNNNNNNNNNNNNNNNNNNNNNNNNNNNNNNNNNNNNNNNNNNNNNNNNNNNNNNNNNNNNNNNNNNNNNNNNNNNNNNNNNNNNNNNNNNNNNNNNNNNNNNNNNNNNNNNNNNNNNNNNNNNNNNNNNNNNNNNNNNNNNNNNNNNNNNNNNNNNNNNNNNNNNNNNNNNNNNNNNNNNNNNNNNNNNNAAUUUAAAUCCUAUUAAUUGAGUAAUUUCAUUAUUCGAAUUUCAUAAUGUGUCCGUAAGAAAUUUUAAAACCAUUAGAAUUACAAUUCCAUGAAUUUAAAUUCUAUUAAUUAAGAAUUUCAUUAUUUAGAUUUCAUGAUGUAGAGUUUUAAAAUGACAAGAAUUUGUAUUCAGACUAACCUUAGUUAAUGGAAUUGACAAAUGACGCUUAUUUUGUGAGGAAUUCAAGUCGGGAAUUUAAGCUCCUAAAUUUCACGAUUAUUUUCCCGUGAAAAUUGCUAAUUCCACGGGAUAAGUGUUCAAACGAGGGAAACCGUCCUAAGAAAUUAAGAAUUCAUUAUGUUUGAUUAAAUUCUCAGGAAUUCACCCACAUCCAAACACACCGUAAAUAUAUACACCGCGCCAAGGCGCGGGUAUAAUUCUAGUGUCCCAAAUAAGAAGCUAGCUAGGUAACAGUUUCUUUUGUAAGUGCAAGCAAUCUUCUUGGGCUUUUUACCAAAUGUGUUAGUUUUUUUCAGUGAUCCAAUUUCUCUCAGGAACUGGAAGUAGUGCCUUGAAACUGCCACCAUGUUGUAAGAUUCCCAGACUAGUUAGCAAGAUUGCAGAACAAAAAUAUCUGAGAUACCUCAACCUUUUGGAGAAUUCAAUGUUCUUUGCUUCACUGGGAUGGUUAAACCACCAAGAGCUCUCUUCUUUAUUGGCUCAUUUGGAGGGUUUAUAGUGAAAAGCAACAGGCAAUGCUCCUAAAAAUUCCUUACUUAGAUGAGUUAGAUGUAAGUCAUGCUUUUUAUGUAGCACCUUGUUGGGCAUCAACGAAGGUCUGACAACAUUUUAUGCUAUAGUGAAUCUGGGUACUUCAGUUUGAAGAUUAUAAUAUUGAGGAACCAAAGCUGGGAUUGAAAUUGCUUGGCUUCGAAUCAAAGGUUUUAGAUUGGUUUCGGAAGAAUACAAAAUGGGAAGAGAUGUUCAGAAUUGUAUAACCAUUUUGAGCAGGUUAAUCUAAUAAAACUACAGUAAAUCACCAACAAGCUUUCAUAGCUCAGUUGGUUAGAGCACCCGUUUAGUAAGCGGGAGGUCCUGAGUUCAACUCUCAGUGAAAGCAGAAUCUAUUUUUCUUUUUGUUGUUUCUGUGCAAUAAAAUGAAGAACAUAUAUGAGAAGCCAAAACUAUCUACUAUUCGCUAGUCCCCUAUAGUGGGUGGUGCUUAAAAUCAACAUCCACACCCUCAAGCUUGGGGGUAAUCCAGUUGAGAGGUAUUCUAAAAUACCCUCCCUUAUAAAACAAAAACACCAUUCUACUAUUUCAAUUUUUUUUAUGCAAUGUAAUCAUGCACAUAAACACAUUCCUACCAGCUCAGAUUAAGUUACAGUUCCAGUGACAGAGAGUAUCAUCACAUUCCAUUUGUUUCAUCAGAUUGUACUCCUAAAUUGACCCAAUAAUCACUCAUAAGAACAUGAGCAUCAUCACUAUAUGAACCACAUGGAAAUAUUGGCUCUUGCUGCAGCCACACUUGAUCAGCAGCAGUCGACAAUGUAAGUCCUGCAGAAUCUACAAACAUAGCCUCGGAAUCUUCCACCGCUGUUGAUGUCACUUGAGAAUGUGUCCACAAACUUUGAAGUUCACCAAAUGUAUCACAAAUACUUUGCUGUUCUGUAAUCUGGGGUUUGUGAUCAAUUUCAUCAGCAAUACCAGAACUUGAUGGAGAUAAGUUUUCUCUUGAAGUUUCCAACAGUGAUGCUUUUGAAGCUUCCUCAUCAACAAGAAAGGUUUCAGUUUCAGAUGAAGUAUUCUCCACUCUGUUGGACUUGUCAUUGUUGAGGCGCUUUUUCAAGUGGGUGUGCCAGUAAUUCUUGAUCUCAUUGUCUGUCCUUCCAGAAAGUUUUGCUGCAAUAACAGACCAUCUUGAACACACAAACAAGAAGAAAUAGCAAUCUCAUCAAUUCUUGUGUAGAAAAUAUAGCAUAAACAAUAUAACUCAAAUGGUUGGUAAAUUGGUAUUACCUCCAUACAUAAUAAGUUACUUGACUAACAGGUUAUAACACUGGUUCCUAGUUCCUCCCAAAUAGUUUUGCAUAUACAAAUUGGAUUUCUAGUAAUUACCUAUUUCCAAUUUUCUGUUGCAAUUUGAUUAUGGUUUCCUCUUCUUCCCUGCUGAAGUUUCCACGCUUAAUAUCCGGCCUCAAGUAAUUUACCCAACGAAGUCUACAACUUUUCCCAGAUCUUGCCAGACCUAAUAUAAUUGAGGCAGAGGAAAGACCAGGUCAGUACUUGAGUUCCAAGCAAGCAUAAUAUUCCUCAUUGACAGCAAAAUGUAAAUGCCAGAAACAAAGAGAAAGUAACCAAAAAAAUGAAGGUUGUGCAGUUUACUUACCAGCAGGUUUAGGCAUCUGACUCCAAUUCCAAAUACCAUAUCUUUGAAUGUAUGCUACCAACUUGUGAUCCUCAUCAGGACUCCAUGGCCCUUUCUUCAAUCUCUUCUCAUCACACUGCUGAGUACUACCCCUCACCAUUUUCCCACAGAAAUAUCUGUCUCAGAGUUUCAAGUUCUCAUUGUUAUGUCAACAUUGCCUAGCUAAAUGAUCACAAAUACUGUAUUAAGCGUGUUGGCAAGUCUAAAUUCUCCCAUAAAUGGGAAGCUUUUCAAAGACUAAGCAUUCUUAUUCAAGAAAAGGGUCCCUUCCAAAUAUUUACUUUAAAGAAUCUUAAGUUUGUAAGCUGGGAAUUUAUAUUUGGUUUUAGAAGCAAACAAUGCAAAGUCAGUCAAGGUAGCUAUCACAUAAUUAAGUCGUACAUGUAAGAAGACAGAGAUGUAAUUAACUAAGACUCUGAUAGUCUGAUAGGAGUAUUAAUUUGAAAUGCAAGGAUGGGUUAACCUAUUUACUAAUAUCAUUACUAAUCACAAUAAAUUUAGAGAAUUACAUGGAAAAGAAUAUUUGGGGCGAUCAACAUGAGGAAAAUAUGUUGGAUUUUUCUCCAUUUUAUGCCUGAGAUAUUUUCUUUUCAAUGCAUAAGUGGUCAUUUUCUGGGUGCAUGAAAAGUGGUCAAAGAUGUUCAGCAGUUGAGCUUGAUGAACUUCCUUUGUAGCUUUAGUCAAAAAGAGCACGCAAGCUCAUUUUGAUGUAUUGUGUAUACAUAUGAAACCUUAUUAUAUAUAUGCUCAUUCACAGAUGUUUAACAAAAUUUAUGUAUCAAUGUGACACACAAUCUGUCUCUUUUUAUUAUGUAGUUACGUAAGAAGCAUAUUUUUUUUUAUGAAGUACAAAAUGUUUUUAGGAUGACUAUGAUCAAUGAGCUUUUGUCAACGAAACUAUUUAUGUCUUGGCCAUAGUAGAUGUUUUUCUUGUAUGACUUUUAUUUUCUCCAAAACUGUUUUUUUGUCUAGAUUUUCCUAUCAUCCGUCAUCCGUGUAACACAAUUCCUUUUGGUUAUAAUAUACACAAGUCUACAAAGAUACUAAGUCUAUGUAAUGACAAACAGUACAUCAAAAUAGAAUUUGACAGACUCAUAAUUCUAAAACACGAGGAAUCGAUGGCCACUACUUGCAUAUAUAAAAUCUAAGUCCACACUCAACAUGCAGCAUAGUAGUAUAUUAAACUUGUCGCACUCAGAAGCUAGAGUUAACAGAGACUGACUAUUGGACAUGCAGUUCUGCACUUGCAUUGUUUAAGCUGGAGAUGAAGAGGAUGAUGUUGCAUUGUUUACACAGAUUCGUAUUAAUCAUUUCCAGUCAUAUUUUAGUGCCCAUUUGAGGAAGAGUUUCAUGUUUUUUCAACGAGGUAGAAAAAUCAACAAUGGGUGCGUAUCCCAUGUUGAGAUAUCGUAUGAUCUUCUUAAUAUAAUUAAACAUGUAAUUAUGCACUAAAUAUGCACCCUACUGAAAAGUCAGCCCAGUUGCUACUUGCUACAUUCUUUGCUGCAAUAUAAGCCCUCUCCUUCCAAACUCCCAACCCAGAUGAAAGCGUGAUUGAACCAUGAAAUCCUCUAGCAAUGCAUUUUGUAAAGACAUCCAGCCAUCUGUAGUGUAUAAGAAAGUAGCCAAGACAAUUGAGGCUUUGCGGUACUGAAUCCCAAUAGAUGCUAAUUCACACUCGUGUCAAAAUCCGAAUAGAUGUUAUUCAAUCCCAAAGACAUAAAACAGAGAGCAUAAGAUGAGGAAUAUUUAUCAUUUCAUUGAAUAAAGGAUACGAUAACGUAUUGAUCAUAACAUGUUCUACAACAACACAAGUCUACAGAACUCGGGUCUAUCUAAAAAACCCACAUGUAUGUACAUACACAUAGUUACUCAUCCCAUAACUUAAGAGUAGAUCGCCUUCCAUCUCUGGAAACUCCGCAUGCAAUCACCAGGUGGAGGAGUGAACUCAAGCUCUAGUUCCCAAUCACAACUACAGCAAAUCUUGAAUGGAAAAAAGUUUGGACUCCAUGGUUGAUUUCCCUUCCUUGGGGAAGAAACCGAAUGGGGAUAUGCAACUUUGAAUGAUACUCAGGUCAAUUUCUCAAUGGAGGGUCAAUGACCAGCUUGUUAAACUCAUGAAUAUGUACUAGCAGCUGGACUUUUUUGCGUGUUGCAGAGGUCGGGAGACUUGAUUGACACAAGAGUAGGUGGUUGGAGCUCAAAGAAAGAUUUUCCUCCUUCUCCAAGGCUGCCUAUAUAUAUUGUAUCUCCCCUACCGUGCCAGGUGCCAUCUUGGACAUUGUUCAUCUCUAAUGUUCUGGCUUCCUGCUCACAAAACAAUAAUACUAUUUAUGAGCUUCCAAGAAUAAGAAGCUUGCCAAACUUUAUGCCAACGUUUACUUUUAAUUUUGGAACCUAUCCAGAGUGUAUGGGUCAGAGAAGUGAUAAUACCUGAGAUAAUGUGCAGCAUGGACAGACAAGGUGGUAGAGGCAAUCAUCCACGGAACUCUCAUUACCCUGGAAAGAAUAACAUUAACAUUGAAUGUUUGUUAGUUCAGGUGUAAACAUGAAAGACAACAAUCAGAAUAACACCAACAUUCAAACAUAGCAAAAGCUCCUAACAGAGUACCAAAAUGACAAUAGAACAUUUUACAUACCAAAAAACUACAUGAUUAGGCAGUUCAAAUGGACUUGAAACUAUUAAUGGAUUCAUGAUAUGCUUUCCAAGAUGAUCACCACAUUGCUUUAUAUCAUACAGCAUAUUUUCCCACAUUUUCCUUAUUUUUUACAACUAAUGUAGCUUUCAAAUGCCUAACAACCACUGAAGUGCAUUGAUUUACACCCUAAUAUAUGAGUUAAGGAGAGAAGACAUGAUGAAUAUGACGAAAUUACUAAUGUUAGACAGUUAGACCAAACAUGAUUGCUAGCAAGCAAUGAACACAAUGACAGACAAAGAGAGAGUGCUUACCCUUAUGUUAAAUUUGUUUCUUAUCUGUGUACGGAAGUACCCCAAAUACGUCCCCAGUGUAAUGGUGAAAGCAACCACCAGAUAUACAAAGCAGCGCUUCUUGGUGAUAAUAAACGCAACGCAGUUGAGAAGGAUGCUGGCGACAAGGAUUAAAUGAAGAGAACCCUGCAAAACAACAUACCAAUAUUCAAAAUCUAUCUAAACAAUCCUGCUCUAUAACCUAUCAUCAGAUAUGAAACAAAGUGAAACUAGACAGCUCAAUCAACUCGGUACAACAUAUGACCUCUCUCACUGAACUCCAAAACUUCGACUCAAAGAUUUCAACUUUGAUCACCGCACUAAAGGAUGACGGAAAAGAAACAAACCUGUAAAAAGCAAGGACCAAACCCAGCUCGCUUCAUGUUCUUCCCAAAUGUAUAGCACGGACAGCUGCAGCAUCAUCAAUCACACUGUUAGUAAACAACACAGUCAAACAAUUCUCAUUCUCAAAAUGUCGAACCGGAUUCCACAAAGAGUCCAACUAUUUAGUCAAGUAUCAAGUCAAUGAGCCUUCCUAUUCAAUCCAUUCCAUACACAAAAGUAUUGACCUUUUUUCUUCUUUUGAGUUUUGACCAAUUCUAAUCAACUAAAAAUAGAAACACCUUCAAUUCCAAAAUCAAUACUUUCGCCGGAAAAGUCGAAUUCCGGCGAGAAAUUAAUCAGAGAAAAGAGAGAGACAACAGACCAAGCCGAUUCGAGAGCGACGCGGCGAUCUUCGAAGCAAUCUAGGAGCUCACCCUCCCACAUCCUAAACACGCCGCCCAAUUCCGCAGCCUCAGCUUCAUCUCCGCCGUCGAAGCUCUGAAACUUGGCGGCGGACUUUCCCUGGGUCUGUAAGGCGACGGUGGAGCAGAGCAUGUCGAAAUCCAACACGGCCAUUCCUCCGUCGUCGACAAGCCUCUCCGUCUCCUCCGCCGCCGCCUCGUCCUUGUUCAGCUGCUGCUUCUCCAAAUCCCCCAUUUUUUUUUGGCUUAUCAAAAAUCCCAAAACCCCAAAAAACCUGAAACGAAUUUUAGGGUUUCGUUUCUCUCUCUUUCUCUCUCUCUCUGAAACGAAGAAGCUUUUUGGGUUUCUGAAAAUAUUUAAACUGUUUGUUGGUGGCGGAUGAAUGAUUGUCUGUUACGAAUCGGGUCGGGUCGUAUACGGGUAUAUUUGGCGGGGUGUGUAUAAACGGGGUAUAUUUGGUUAACCACCAAAUAUAACGGUCUUCAUGCACACUCUCUUGUUUAUUCUUUAGGUUGGUUUUACUUGCUUGUUUUUCUGUUGGGAUUUUUAACUUGGUUGGUUGGUUGUCUGGUAUAGCAAACCUCAACCAUUUUAGUAGAAAACAAACAAUUUCAUCAUUAUUAUUGUAUACAUGUUAGAGAAAUCAAUGUUACGGUAGAAUCAUAUGACAAGCCUUACGUGUUUUUAUACAUGUCUCAUAGAGAUGACGAGAACUAUAGAUUCGAUUCGUUGUCUAACAAAAAAAAAAGUAAGGGUUUACGUUGAUUGGUUUUCUAGUUAUAAAGGAACGAGUAAACUAAUUAACUAACUAGGAAAAUGUACCUAGAUUUCGUCCGAUUUAACUUUACAGUUAACACUAUACCUGGUUAAGAAGUAAAUGUGAUUCAGACACUAGCAUAUACGAUACAUUUCUUUUGUCCUGAUCAUAUGGCAUCUCAAUUAUGGUCGGUACACCCUAAUACCAUCAUUUCAACCAGCCAAACGAUCAUUCUCUUUUUCUAAGAAACAAAUUUGUGAUAAUACUAAAUAAUGACAAGAAUACAAACUUUACGAUCCACAAAAGUGAUAAAACAGACAGACGCCGAAUAAAAUUCGGUCGACGUUUGUAUUUUAAGAUUAGGAAUCAAUCUUAGUUUGCAUUAGGGAAAUAAAGAAUGAGUCUAAUGAUGAUGACAGGCAAAGAAUAAGGUAUUACACAGAGCAAGUUAGCCACAGCCCCCACCCAGCAUACCUUGAGCUGUAAUCUGCAUUAUCAUUAAUCAAAAACCAUAAUGCAUUAUGCACCAGAAGGCAGAAACAGAGCCUUAUGGUUGCUCUACCAUAUUAUUCUAUGAUGAGUCAUAUGACACAUCCCUUGCUUGAGGGGACCAUAAUGCUGGAUCAUGGCUGUUGUGGAUUUCAUCAUAUGGAUAAGCACACGAUAAAGGGGUUCUAAUAUCCAAUCUCUCUCAAAGUCUCAACCACCCCACAUGAAAGGUCUUCGAGAGAUAAGGGUAAACAAAAUCGAAGAGAAAAACCUCAUUUAGAAAUGCAGCACUAGCGAAAAUGUCAAAAGCAACAACAAAUGUUGUAGGUAUUGCACAAAUCAAAGUUACAUAUAAUGAUUUCCUAAUGUUUUUGUCCGUAAAACGCCACAACAAAAGCAAAAGGAAGGAUGAGAUACAGUCGCUGCGGAGGCACAGACCUGUAGAAAUUUGGAAGUCAAGUUUUCACUGCGGGUCUCACUAACCCGAGACCUGAACCGCUCCCCAAAUGCUUGAAAUCUUUGGCUUCAAGAUCAUCGUCGUGGCCAGCAAAGCCAGUCCCUCCUUUUUUCAGGUUCACCAUGUUUCUCUCUUUACACCCUUUAUUGCAAACAAGACAAACCUUAUCUACAGGUAUGAACUUAUCAGCACACUUCUUACAGAAAACGUGACCACAUGAGCUAAGAGCCACAAGUGACAAUGUGUUUGUUAAUGUAACCUUGCAGCUUGGACAGAUAUAUGUCUUGUCCAGAGGCGUUGAUUUCUUCUCGUCGUUUAUGUCUUCAGUGAAAUGGACAGGGAAAAGAGACUUCAGCUUUAGUUUCUCGCUACCUUCUGGACAGGUUGUGCAUUCAGGGGGAGCAGCCACUUUAACAGGAGCUUCUGGUGUAGCAGAAGGCAGCCAAAAUGCCUUCAUUGUCCGAAGCGCCUCUUCUUCAUAAGAAGUCACCUUCACACUAUUUGCCCCAUGAAACCCACCCUUAUCCUGGUCCUGGUUUCUAUCAUUGUAGUGCGGUACUGCACCAUGGUUUUGCUGAUCGAAAGACUCAAGCUCUCUGGCUUUCUGUUGCCUUAACCUCUCUUCUUCAUCUUCCUUCUCUUGCUUCUGCUGACUAUUAUGUGCCACUUGCUUUCUGCAAAGUGGAAGAAGCAACAUCUUCAGAUAAACCACACAAUAUCCCCAAGCCAAGCUUGGUACCAUAGUUAGCCUUAAGACACCAAAAUAUAAUCAAGAUUUACCAAACUACAAAACUAGGAACCCCCAAUUACAAUUUUUUCUUGAUGUACAUCAAUAAAACUAGAUCACAAGCAGAAUGUUUCUCGCAUUGAGGAAUGGUUUUUUUUCUUUUCGUCUGUGGGUUAACCUAACAGCUGUAUAUGAGACUGCCAAAGGGAAGGCAGUAAUAACAGCACAGAAAGCACACAAAAUGUUGCAAAAUAACUAAUAGCAUGCACAGAAAGGAUAUGACCUGACAUACUAGCACACGUAUGAAAGUCUACCAAAAUUUGGUUUCCAAUAACGGCAAGCCAUUUGAUAAUUCACUUUCUCAAUAACACCCACCAAGAACCCCUAAAUACCAAAGAUCCACAGAAUUGCACCUAAUUUAGUAACCAUAUUCACCAUUAAGGGAGAAUAUGAUUGAAUACCUGGAACAAAAAUCCAGAUUGAUUUGAAUAACAUCCAUUAGGGAUCUAUAUCCCACAACCAUUUUAGUAGCUACACAAAGUAAGUAACCAAACAUGCAAGGACGAGCUUUUGUUAUACUACAAUCCGCAUUCAGGGAACCUGCAUUCUUAACCCAUUAGAAUAGUACACCAUCCUCGAAAGCCUAAACCUCUACGGAAAUCUCAAACUCAUAACGUUUCACUCAAACCUGGAAGCUUUAGGCUACAGAUUUAUAAGAAAUCUAUCAUCUCAGGGACCACCAACAAACAGGAAAAGAAAAAAAAAAAAAGACUUGAAAAAUGAAAACAUCAAACUUAAAUUCAAAUCCUGAUCACAUUGAACAAUAACAAACAACAAAUUGGUACUUAAGCUCUGAAUUUAUCCACGAUUCCUUUUUUAGGGAAGACCUCAAUAUACCAAAAACAUUACGCGCCUAUUGAAAUAGCACAUUAGAAUCUGUGUUUCAAAGCAGCAUGAGGCCUCUACCAAUCUCACUCAGAUUCUAGUCAACUGUGCCUAAAAUCUCAGUCUAAAAUAGUCAAUUCCACUAAAUUUCAACCAAAGCUGGAAACUUUAGACUCCAAACUGAUUACCCAUAUCACCCAAAAACCCUAAAAUCUUAGCAUCCCAAAAAGAACAAAUCUUUUACCACACCACAACCAAUGAGCCGAAAACCCAAUACAGCAAAAUCAAAUUCACAUAGAAGCAAACAAGGAAUUGGGUUAUACAGCGAUGGAAAAAUCGAGGGUACCUAUGGAUGUCCUUCUUCUGAGAAAGCAAGCAUUCGAGAAUGCAUUCCUUGCAGAAGACAUGGCCUUUCUGGCAGCUCAUGGGGUCGAUGAAGGGCUUCAAGCAGAGGCAACAAGCAUCGAAGGGUUUAAUGGAGUCUCUGCCGAGUCUCUCCCUCUGGGUCCCAUAACCGAGCUUCCGCUUCUCGUCAUAUGUGAAGAACGCGAGGUCGUUGUUGUUCUUGGAGUGUCUCUGAGGCAUGUUUGAUGUCUCUGAGAGAUGAAGAAGAUGAUGAUUUAGCUUAUGGUGGGGAUUUGGGGAGUCUGCAGGUCUUUGAUUUUCCGGGAUUGGAAUUUGGGGAUUUUGAAUAAGAGACAGAUGCAGAUGGCUGAUUGCGGAAGCAGCCGACCCGUUAUUUAUAUAUAGGUUGGGCCACGUACGGGAUUCGAUUUGGAAAUAGAUCCGACCCAAUAAAAACGACUACGAUACAAAGUUGAUAGUUAUUAAUUUCUUAUACACAAACACAACGAUCACCGAUUCUCACCAAUUUACAAAAAUAUAUCUGAUCUAGAAAGUUAUGUCACCAUUGUUGUCAUCCAUAUAAAUAGUUUGCAUCCCUCGUCUGCCAAGUGAUCAAGACCUAAUCACAAAUACCAAAAUUAUAUGAUACAAUAACAAUUUCAGUGAAACUCCAAAUUAUAUUGAAUCAACUUUAACCAGCAAAAUUCAAAUAAUUUUAGUCAUCCUCUUUAACAUUCUAUUCAAUUUUUUCUAAUAUCUCAUAUUCGUAAAGAAAAAUCCAUUUACAUAUCAUAAGGGUAAUCAUGAUUCAUAUAUUUAUACUUUUUUCUAAUUUCUAGUAGAUAUUUAAGUCUUAAAUUUCAUCGACAUGUCUGACUUCGUUCAUCCUCAAAUAGAACACUUUCAUGUCAAUAAUCAUGGUCAUAAGAGAAACAUGACUUAUAACUUCAUACAUAUCUUCUUGUGCAUGUAUCGAUUUGCACUAUUCUAUCCUAGCUACGACGCUAUCAAUCCUACGGAUGAUAAGAUAUUUCUUUAUUAUCUUUUUUUUUAAUUACCUAAUUAUCAUUAUUUUUGAGAUAAUAAUUAUCAAAUUAUACCAAAAAAAAAAAAAAAAAACUAAAGCUUGAACAUUUUCACCUGCACAGUGAUCCUGUGACAUUGACAGUCUUCUUCUUCCUCACUCUCACUCAAAAACCUCAGCUUCCUUCUCUCUCUCUCUCUCUCUCUCUCUCUCAAUCAAACCAAACCUCGAUGGCUUCUCCGAUAAAGAGCCCAUCAUCUUCAGAACCAGAGCGCCACCACUCCGCCUCCGCGAUCGUCGUCCAACCCACCUCCCCGCGCUUCCCUCCCACCGGCACCCCCACCUCCGGUGCCCAGCGCCGCAUUGGCAUCGCCGUCGACCUCAGCGACGAGAGCGCCUUCGCCGUCACCUGGGCCGUCCAGAACUACCUCCGCCCCGGCGAUGCCGUCGUCCUCCUCCACGUCCGCCCCACCUCCGUCCUCUACGGCGCCGACUGGGGCGCCACCGACGUCUCCGUCCCUUCCGACGAGGCCUCCCAGCAGAAACUCGAGUCCGAUUUCGACCGCUUCACCGUCACCAAAGCCAACGACCUCGCCAAGCCUCUCGGCGAGGCCAAGAUCCCGUUCAAGAUCCACAUCGUGAAGGAUCACGACUUGAAGGAGCGGCUCUGCUUGGAGGUCGAGCGGCUUGGUCUGAUCGCCGUCAUUAUGGGCAGCCGGGGCUUCGGAGCCACGCGGCGGAGCUCCAAUGCUAGGCUCGGCAGUGUUAGUGACUACUGUGUGCACCACUGCGUCUGUCCGGUCAUUGUCGUUAGAUUCUCCGAUGUGGAGGACGGAGACGACAAUGCCGUAAAGGUUUAUGAAGAGGAGCCGGAGUUCCAUGACGCUUUGGAUAAAGGUCAGCAUUCAUAUGCAUAGUAUAUGAUUUAGUAUUAGUUGAUUAUGGUGAAAAUUUAAUUGACUUGUGGUUCAAGUUUGGUGCUUGGAGGUAUAGUUCACUCAGCAUUUGAUGGUUAGGGGGGUGUAUUGUAUUUAGAUUUAUACAUACUUAUUUCAAUCAACAGACUUUUCGAAAUGUCUACUGACUCUUUGAAAAGUUCAUAGACUUUCACUGAUUUCUUAAAACCAUCGAUUUUUAAUCACAGACUUUCACUGAUUUAUGAAUAUAAAUGACUUAUGUAGAUUUCUCAAUACUUACAAUUACAGAAUUCAAUGAAAAACACAAAUGAAACCGAUUAUAAGUUUUUAUUGUUCAUCUAUCUAAUUUCGAUGCAUUCAGUUGCAAUAUUUGAUUGAGAUACAUAAACAUAGGUGACGCAAAAGAUUAUAUUAACUUAUAUUACCAACACGCAUACUUGUACGUAAAUCAAGGACUACUUGACGCAUGUUCUAAAGUGGGAUAUUAGAUGUUCACAUUCAUGUACGCAAUUAUAUAAUACAUGAUCAUGUAAUUCUAGAAUCAAGAGUUAGUAGACAGAGGAAGUGUCAUUUCAUUUUUGGAUCUAGAACAAAUACGUUCAAGAGACAAGAGAAUUAAUGAUACCCACCAGAAAGACUAAUCCAAUCCAUAAUAAUAUUUAGGUUAUCGAGGGUUCUAAAGCAUCACAAUUGAAGACAAGAAAAAUAUUAACAUUCAAUAAACAUUGAAAAGAAUAGGUAGAAGAACGUUAAUAACAUAGAAUAUUAUAAAAAGGAAAGAAAAAAAGAAAGAUGAUGUAUCGCAGGAUCAACCUAUUCAUAUGUAAAGAGAAAGUCUAUCGUAGACUUUUCCAAAUCUUUGCCUUGGUGGAUGGAAAAGUAUUAGAGUUUGGUGUGUGUAAUUUACACUACAAAGUCCAUAGUUAUCCAUGAGUUACUAAUUCCAUAAGAAUGAAUGACAUUUUGAAAACUUCUAUUCAUUUUAAAAAGUCUUAAUUGAAUACCCCUGGACUUUGGUGGAAUUCAUAAUGAUUUUUUAAAAUCUAGUUGAAUACACCCAGACUUUGAUAGAUUUUGACUUUGAUAGAUUUUUAAAAGUCUGAAUUGAAUACACCUAGACUUUCAAAUUCUAUAGACUUCUUCAAAUCUUCCACUAAUUCCACAUACUUACUGAUGGUGCAUUGGAUUUGAUCCUAGUUUACGUUUACUAAUCUAGAAACCCUCGGUAAUACUAUAGUUUUAAAUAAAUUGUUUGGCACCCGUUAGACAGAAAUAUUUUGUCGAAUGGUUUCGUGUUUUGGGAAGUAAGUUAAACGUGAGAGUCAUGCACCUUCUUAUCGCCUUUCAUUAUGUUUGUUGAAUGGUUUUGUGGUUGAGGACGUACAUAUGUUAGAGGACAUCAAUUUAACAGGAGCAUGAAUAGUAUAACCUACCGUUGAUAGUUCCCACAACAAGUAGGCAGAGUUGGCUUGGUAUACCUAAUCUGAAUUAUGGAGUGACUUGAUCAGCAUUUAGCAAAUUGAAACUUCCAAGUUUUUGUUUGCUUAAGUUAUUGUAUCAGUACAGUUAUGGAAUGCUUGGGCAGCUCUUCUACAUGCCAGGUAUGGUGAUAGACAUUCUUAAAUAGGGAAAAUUUUAAUGUCUGAUUUUUUGGAGGAGCUUUCAAGUGGUUUGGCAUUCCCUUUUCUUUUCCUUCUUUUUUCUUGGUAUCUUGAAUAUUGACAAGUCUGUUUGCUCAAACAGUAGUUUGGAUGGUGUGUUUACUUCUGCAACAAUCUACCCUUUUGGCAACCAACAUUCCUGUUAUUCAAUAUUCCAACUACCAAAAAAAAAAAAACAAUUCUAACUACAAAUAAAAGAACUUAUAUGUUGUUGCCAGAAUAAAACAAAGUAUAAGGUGCUCCAAAUAAGUUAGUGUACAAGUGCAAUAAAUUAAACUCGGAAAUUGGAUGCAGCCAACAGUCUAGUAUUUAUAGGAGCGGGCCUUGCUGGUGCUUCAUACUUUCAGAUACCUACUGCCAGUUGGGGAAGUUGUUUAAGUAUCCCAAGGUAGAUAUAAAUGUGUAACUUAACUUGUACUACUUUCCGUGCUGUUAUGUGGGUAGCAAUUUAAAGUCUCCUUUAUGAUGUGUUUAAUCUGCUAGAAACUAAUGAUGUAAGAACCACUGCACAAGAGAUUUAUGAAUCAUGUUGAUGUUAGGUAAGUGUUUGAUGAGUGAUUGAAUCCUACCCAGUACAUUCUAUGUAUUUUUAUUGUGAUUUAAAGGUAGAUGUUGUUAAAUUGGAUAGUUAUCUUCUCCAAGGCAUUUCCUGGUUCAUUUCAGCAAACCUGUCAACCUCCUUUGCCCUGGUAGGUUCUAUAAGCAGAAUGAUGAAAUGUGUAGAUCAUACAUGUUCAUCCCAGUAAUCUGGAUAUAUGCCAAUAUUUCUGUCAUAUUUACAAACACAAUGUACUAUACUUCGAGUCAUAGUUCUUGGGGACCUUAUUUUUGGAACCAUUUCCUUCACUGAAACCAUCCAAAUCGCAACAAUUCAAAGGAAAAAAAAAAAAAACCUUGUUGUCAAUUGUCAUACCCAAUUAUCCAUAGAAACCUUUUAUCAAUGAUUGUGUUGAAGCUUCAUGGUGCAUUUCAUAUUUCAUGCCUUGCAGAUACGGAUAAGGUUCGUUGAAAAGGUAGAGAUGGUGAAGCGCAUUCGGAUGUUUAUCAAGUACUCCUGGUUCGUGUGUAAUCAUGUCGUCAUGUUGUAUGGAAAAGUUUGGCAGUAACCAAGUCUACUGAUCUUUGUUUCAACCGCUUUUUCACAGCGUUGCCGUAUGUUUAUGAAGCUCGGGGAUGUUGAUGAAUAAUGGAUGAUUUCAAUUUCAAUCUUGUUCCUUUUCACCUUUCUGAGUAUAAAAAAUGCAAAUGAAGUAGAUGGUUAUGAUCUUAUGAUAACAAUUCAUAAGUUGGGUCUAUGAAGAUUGCCUAAUCUUAUUACUUUGAUAGCUUUAUGGGUAUAAUGCUUGGUCCCUGAUGUUAAGAUUCCAUUGUUUUGGCAAAUCAUGUAAGCAAAAUGCAGGAAGACCGUCAUUCUUGUAAGUUUAGAUAGAGAACAAAAAUACAAAAGGCUUGAGCUUUGUCCAUGUAAAACGUGGGGCAUAUAUAUAAACGGCCACAAUUCCAGGUUCUAGAUGGGCUGACAGAGAGGAAGAUCUCAAUUCAAAGCUGGCAUGCACAACAAAUAGAUCAAAAACUGUGCAGACCUUUGUUUUGGGGAAACAAGAAUCCAAAUCUCUCACAUCUCCACAGGUGUUGAAAUUUUCAAUCGGAUGGACCAUAGCCACAUAAAUCAUCAUGGUCUCCCCUCUACAGGCAAACAAUUUCACACCAGGACUAGUGAGCUCUGGGCCCUUCUUGAUUCCUUCCAUUAAAGCUUAAUGUUAGUUUAGAAGUAGCUUUCUUAUUCAUCGCUAAUCAAUUUGUAAGUAAAUGAUUAUACUAAUUCGAAGAGUUAUGGUAAGCACGUGAACAUGUCCCAAGAGCCCCCACCUCCCAUCCUUUCGGUUUUUGGGAUUUACACUAAGAGUAUUAUUCCAAACAUAUUAUGACUUUUAAGGUAUUCGAACUUCAAACUUUUAGUAGCUAAAAAUGUUGAUGGUUCGAUCAAAACAUAAAAGACUUGUUAUAGUAGAGUUUCACAAUAGCAAACAAUCCUCCCUUCCUGAAUCUAGUAACAACCUGCUUGAAACAAACCUCCCCAGUUUGAUCCAAUACUCCCCUUAUAAUAAUCAGAAUACAUCAAUCUAUGCCACAUUCUCUUGUUGUUGAGUAUAGACAAUACUAUUUGACUUAUGUAUUACUCAUCUUUAAAACAUAUUAAAUCUCAGCCUAACAUGGUAGACAAAGUGAAGCAGGAAGCCAUUACUUAAUGUCAAAUCAUGCUACUUGCCAAAUUGCUGGACAGUUAACCAGUGGCUUUUCAUGCAUAUGAAACAAUGAACACUAUUACCACCAUAGAUCAGAGCUUAAUUUCUGCUUGUUUAUUUUCUGAGACCCCACUUAUUAUCACUCAAUCACUUAAUCCAUAGGUGGAGGAAAAUUAGCACUAAUGGAUUUCUUACAGAGUAUGCUGGUUGGAGAACUUUGAUUUCUGCACUAAUCUCAAAUGGGGUGGUCUAGAUUGAGCUCCACCACCCAUUGAUUCCACCAAAGACUAAUGUUAAGUACAAUAAUCAAAGAAAAGCAAAGCAAUAUGUCAUUUAUACAGAUGAUGAUUUGCUGAAAAGAUGAAAUUGUGAGAACUGAGUAGGAUUGUAAGGAUCCAAAUGAAAUGGAAGUUAAAAGCUUACAAUGACUUAAAGACAAAGAAAAUUAACCUUAGUAAAGUGUUCAUCCAUCAAGUUCUCGAAUUAAAUUUGGUUCUUCACUUGUUGCUUCCUUCAUUCAUUCUGGGUCGAACUUUUCAAGAUAUCGGUUCCAGUACUGCAGCAGUUCUCAUCUUUCUGUUAUUAAAGAUGAUCGGAGAAGGAGAUACAGGAUCUGCAAGAUCUUUAGAUGAAGAAAUCGCGAACUUGGUGUGCAUUGUAGCGCCUGCGCUUACAUGGAUAUGAUGAUCUUGAUCUUGACAAGCUUUCAUGGCAACAUUCUUCAUCACUUAAAGAGCUUGAGUCUGGUGGAGUAGAGGAGCUAGAUGACCAUGGAACAACUUGAUUCCCUUCAUCAUCAUCAGCAUUACCACCAUCAUCAUCAUUAGCACCAUUUUCACCUCCAUCAUGAUCAUCAUUAUCUUCUCCGAUGCUAUUUUCUUCUUCUUCUUUUUCUCCUCCAUCUUCAUCAUCAUCACGUUCUUCGUCUUCUUCGUUUCUGGACUCCUUGUUUGAAACACAAUUCUCACAAACUGAAACAGUAUUAGGACCAAGCUUGGGUCCACAGGCAUUCCAUGGAGUUAGAGAUUGACAGACAUGGCAUAGCAGAGUCCUUGAAUGCUUGGCCACCAAGAAGUUUGCACCAUGAACCUUGAUGUCACAAUCCCAACAUAAACUAGCUUGAUCUGAUUCACAGUACAUCUUUGCCGCAGAGUCACACAACUCACACUUCUUCAUUUCUCUCCCUCUCUCUCAAUUUGAUUCCUCAAGCAGAUCUCUUUAAUUUGUCUGUGUUUUUAAGCCCUGAAGUGUUUCUGUGCAUGUGUAUAUAUAAAGGAAGAGAAUUGGAAAACAUGGUGCAGGACAUUUAUAUUCAAAACCAGCCCCUGUUUUAGUUUUUCUAAGAGAAGGAUUAAACUUUAUUUUAUAUAGUUUUUUUUUUCUUUUUCUGAAAGGUAUUGUAUAUAGUUUGUUUCCUUCAAAAGAGGGAGAAAGAAAAUGCAUCAGUCACUAUCACUCAUCACUCCUUAAGUACGGGUUAUUUUAUUGCCAAGAGAGAAAAAGAUAGAAGACAAUACAAGGUAAAGCCUUGGAGAUAUAAUACAUACAACUCAUACACGUACAAUAUUAUUGGUUUGAAAACAAAUUAUAAAGAAACUGCAUAUGUAACAAGUGGAUGUGAUAUCAAAUUAUCAAUAAUACGAUUACGAUUACGAUUACGGUUACGGUUACAAUUCUAAUUAGCUUUACGAUUACUUUUAUACUACUUUUGUCACAUAUGUAGUACAACGAUGUCGUUCGUCAUCAAGUCACAUCUUAGUUAUUGCUCAACAUAAAUGUGUUUUUGUAUCUUAUUAUCUUUUAUUAAUUUUCCAUUAUAAAUAUGUCUUCUGUGCAUGUUGCUAUGCUUUAUUGUUUUCACCAUGUACUCCUCAGUUAUCAUUCCUCAAUUAUCAUUUAAUAUAGCUUUUCGUCUUCUCUUAAAGAAAAAUACAAACAACAUUUCAAGAAAGUCUCUUUUAGAAACUCGCAAAGCUUGAGUGUAAAAAUUCACAACAGUACUUGUACAUACCUAUACUUAAAGAGCUUUCAAUCGUAUGGUAAUAGUAAAAGAAGAACCCAAAAUGUAUUGUAUGAAAAGUCGAUAAAUAGUUGCAACAACAAUGAGGCUAAGGAUAUUUACAACUUUUGUUGGUAUACUGGAUAUAAAUCAUAGAAUUAGGUGAUGAAAUGUUAAAAACUGUUGAGCAUGCACCACUUAAAAUUUGACACAUCCUACGCCAUUAUGGGCAUCGUACCCAUUGUUUCUCUUCCAGAAAGUACCCACAUCCCUAUGAAUUUAGGACACAUACCAAGUCCAAUAAUGGAAACUGGAAAGAACCGGACAACUUAGAAGGUACACAGGCGUCUGAAUUAUUGCAGUCAACUAGCUAGAACUCCAUUCAAUUUCGUGGAGUGUACUCUCGACGGAGUGGAUUCUACGCAUUAAAGUGUGUUUACACUAUUAAUAUGUAAGUUCUUAAAUUAUCGUAUACAAAGAUCGAAUAAAGAUUAUAUAUAGACCCUAAAAUUAUUUAUUUCAUUUUUAUUUUUAAUCUAAUCAAAUUAAGUACUCAUAAUAAAAAUACCUUUUAUCCAAUCUCAGGUCCUCACCUCCUGUGUUGGAAACACUUAUGACUAUUUUUUUAGAUUUCAAUUUUAUUAGCUGUAUUAGAAUACAUGCAUAAUAAUGCAACGUGGAUGACUAUAUGACUAUUUUUUUAGAUUUCAAUUUUAUUAGCUGUAUUAGAAUACAUGCAUAAUAAUGCAACGUGGAUGACUAGAUUAAAAUAUUACAUAUUAAUUGUUCGGUUCACUUGCACUUUGGUGCGUAGAAUAAUUUUCGUCAUUUACAGGGUUUGAGAAAUGAGAUGGACGAUGUGAGAGUUCUUUGGAUUUUGAACAAAUUCUCAUCAUUUAAGUGACCAGUUAAACUUGGUGGGAAUCUCACCUUCAGGUAGUUGGCACCUGCCUGUAAUCGAUCUGCAGUUGUUAGUGAUGAUUCUUUAAUGGUAUUAUGAAGCCUCGACUGUAACCAAAAACAUAGUGAGUGUCUAUGUUAUACGAAGAGUAAAAGCAGUUUUUAUACAAGCCAAAUAAUUAUUGCGUCACCUGACAAGUAAAAUUAUUGGAGAAUACAAAAGGUAAAAGCAGUAUUUAUACAAGCCAAACAAUUAUUGCAUCACAUACGCUGAAAAUCACACUGAAAUGUAGAAGCCGCAAAAAAUUGGAAAAAAAAUCUCCCCUUGAUGGAAAAUAGCUGUGUUGCACCGGAUAGGUCAACAUCAGAUGAAUGGCCCUUCCUGUUUUAGCUCCGAGGAAGCCCGAGUUUGAGAGACAUGGUGUUCUCAGAGGAGGAGGAGUCAUCUGUGGACGAAGUGGAAGAGCCAGUAGUGAAGCAGCUAGUGGAAAUUGUGCAAGAUUCUGAUGCCAUACCUUGUUCAUCAUCAUCAGUUGAGAUCCCCGACGACUCCAUAGAUAGCAGCGUUCUUAAGCUCUGCCUUAUUAACAGGUUGUUUUCUUCUGCCAACUCUGCUCCUUUUGUUUCAAGUGCCCGAAUCUGACUCCUAAUCCUCUGAUCCUUAGUUUCAAGUACUCGGCUAAGUCCUCCUUCAAUCAUUUUCUCCAAUCUCUGCAACUCAUCUAUAUCCAGCUCUUCUAGAUCCUUCCCCUCCAUAUGCCUUAGCUCGCGGAUCUUUUCCGCAAGCUCCACAUUCAACCUCAUCAUGCACUCAUCAGCUGACUCCUCUACUCCAUCAUCUUUAGUGCACUGUUUGUACCUUGCAAUAAUAUCCUUCGUGCUGGAUCUGGAUAACUCAUAGAGCUUGUCAGUAGAAGAGAAGACAAUGACAGCAACCUUAGCGUCGCAAAGAACUGAUAACUCUCCGGCUUUCUUGAACAGCCCUUUUCUCCUCUUCGAAAACGUCACCUGCCUCGCCGGCAGGCUCUCUAUCUUCUCGAUCUUUAUCUUAUUCAUCGUAAAUUUGGGAGUGUAAAUUUCACUGCCCUAGCUGCUCAAUUGCUGUGUUGGUGGUGCAGAACUGAAGCCAACAGGGACAGAAAGAGCAGGAGGUCAAGGAGGUCAAAUAAUUGUAAACCCAAUAGGGAGGGAAGGAAGAAAUUAUAGAGGAAUUAUUCAUCGGUCCCCACAGGUCAAUGUGACAUGAUGCUCCAGAUCAACCAGCGCGUGACACGUGUCUACCUGCUAAAGUAACAAGGGGAAAUUAUCAGUUAGAAACACCCUACGGUAGAGUCACGUGGUGUUUCAGGUACAUGGAAUAACUACUCAGUAUUAAGAUUAUGUCUGACGUUUGACGGCUUCGUUACUUGUCGUUUAAGAACUGAAGCGUCAAAGAUUGUUCACCGCUUAACCUAAACUCACGUCUAUUCACCAGAACAAUAUCAUGAUCCUAAAUUUCUUUGAAUGAAAACCCUAAACGGGAGAAAACGAAGCCGUUACACGUCAGACAAAAUCCUAUCACUUCAGCAAUAAAUCACGUGUUUAUUGGCUGGGACCAUCAUGUCAGCUUGACCAGUGGUGAUCCAGGAUCGAUGAAUGAUUUCUCUAUUAAUAUGAUGUAAGAAAUUCAUUAUAAGAAAUAAAUAAAAAGACUAAAAGUAUUAUUAUUGUUAUCAAUAUUAUAAUCUAUGUGAUUAUCCACGUAAUUACUCAUUAAUUAUGUACUAUGAUGUAAACUUUACCUCUAUAUAAGGAGGUUAAUAAGAAUGAAUGAUAACACUUCUACCUCCUCUUAAUUAUUCUCUCUGUGUCUUCUCUUUAUAUUUUCUUUAUUUCCAACAAUUAUAAUACGUUCCAACUCAUUUUAGUUGUUUUGACUUCAUUUGGACUUUGGAGUGACGUUUCUUAUCUUGAACAAGUUAGUAUCCGUGGUUUUUCAAGGGUGGAGGGCUUCCAAAUACCAAGAACAUAGUACAUGCGGGUGUUCCAGGUAAAUGAUAAUAAGCUAGCUAUAGGUAGGCGAGGAGAGAAACCUGUGGGUUUGAAUUUGGUAUUGGUUUAAUUGGUUGUCCCUCUACUCCUUUUCACCUCAAUCCAUGCAUGCAUUGAACUUGGAAGAAGAAGAGCAAACAAGUGGCCGGAAAACCAUAGCUAGCUACUUGGCAAUUUGGCAUUCCCAAAUUCGACGUACCAAUUCUGGUUACCUAGCUGCGCACAAACAUUUGCGGCUGAGCUUUGACUGGUUUCUACUACAUCUAGCUGCUAGAACACACAAAGAUGUAGUGGGUUCGAAUAUGCGGUAGACAUUUAUUAUGUAGCUAGUGGAUCGCAACUGCUAGACUUCCAUCCUCUUUGGAAGUCUGGGGGUUGGCUUGGUCUCUGUGUGCUGUGCUACUAUAGCUAUGUAUUAAUGAAUAGGAUGUCAGACUAGCAAAAUUUGGCGGCCGCAAAGACGAAUAAAGAAGUAAACUGAAGUCGGUGAUGCGCUUAAUUUGACACCGCUAAGUUCCAUAGUAUCAAUACUCUGGAGUAUUAUGCAUUCUACAUUUGUCGUUUGUCACACACUCAUACAGUUACACAACGUUUUAGAAAGAUUGUAAACUUGCAUUCAUCUCUUUAUUUCUUUUGUGAGAUAAAUAUUACUUCAAGAGCUUAGGAUUUCAAUUAUGACAUCCUGCAUUAUCAAUGGGAUGAUUUGCCUCAAAUUUUGAUGUUAAUGUCAAUGGUGUUGCUUCAAUCAGCUUUCCCAUGAACUAAUUGAUUCAAGACAUGGAACUGUGGAAGUCAUCCACGAUCUACCUACAUAAGUACAUAUACCUAUAUGGGUGACUAGAGAAGAAGCACCCUUGCUUCACCUCAUAUGAGGUCUCACUCUCAGGCCUAUUAUAUUAGAAGUGACGGACCCAACUUAAUCUUCUACCUAGUUGCUCUUGUACGUGAUCAUCAAUUAUAUACAGAUCAAUGGGCUAGACUGCUGGUAAAACCACAUUUCAUAGUCCUCUCUAUUAACCAGACUCAAAGAAUUUUGUUACUGCUGCAUAUAAUUGUUCUUCUUCAAAUGGCUUUGACACGUAUUCAUCCAUCCCACGCUUCUUGCACUCUUCAAUUGAAGCCUGAACCACAUCAGCCGUCAUGGCUAAUAUUGGUGUGUGCCAAUCUUCCACAUUGCCAAACAUCUUGAUUGGUGCUUCCCCAGAUGCAAUUUUCUCCUUUACUUCAUCCUCCAUACAUCGGAUUCGACGAGUUGUUUCGAACCUGUAUAAUAAAGACAGUAUUAAAAGUGCAAUCAGUACUCUAAAAGGAGGAAUAUAGAAUGGGAGAAAUUUGCUAUCAUACGCACAACACCUAAAGUUCUCCCUGAUCUUUCCUUUAUAUGAAAAUGAACAAGAUAGUAUAUACGUAAAAUUUCAGACCUCCGAUUUUCAAAAAAAAAGAAAAAGAAAAAAAAGACCUCUACACUUGCUAAACUUGAAGAACCAACAUAUAAGAAAUGCCUAAGCAGUAAGCAAAUCAACCAGUAUACAAGCAAAUCAACCAGUAUACAAUAAAUUGUGCUGCCAAGUCAUUCACAAUCUGACAUUUGGCCUCGAUGAAUCCAACUGAGGCAGCAAUCAGGUGUUCUAUAAAACAACGGUCGUAAACCUUUCCUUGGUAUCCUUAAGUAUGUAGGAUGUAACCUUUUAUUCUUUUGUAUUCAAAUAUAAACACAAAUUAGAGAACAGAUACCAAGCAGAUUGAUUACCCGUCCAUUUCUGGCAUUUGGAGAUCCAUAAAGCAAGCGUCAAAGUUGUGAGGUGGCUUAAGCAUGUCUAAAGCAGUCUUUCCACUAUCGACACAGGUGACAAUUGCUCCAUAUUUCUUUAAAGCACCUUCUGCCACUCUUCUGUUGACUGCAUUGUCAUCCACUACCAAAAUCUUCCUGCCUCGUAGUAACUUUCCAAGAGUUGGUUUUUCUAUGUUCACAAGCCUCUUUUUAUCGCUUACAAGGGCCUCUUGGAAGCAGGCAAUUAAGACACUUAACCGAAGAGGCUUCAUCAAUACAUUAUCUACAAAACCAGAAGAUUUUAGUUCAUUACGUUCAGUAGCACUAAUGGAGGUAGCCAAGAGAAAUAUCUUCGGAAAGUUCAGGGGAGACCCCACGCUGCAAUUUUGCCUAUGCUCUUUAACUGACUGAUGGAAUGUAAGACCAGUUUCUUUAUCCCAAACAUCUUUGUCAAUAAGAACCAUGGCCAAACAUGUGGACAGGCUGCAUGCAGGAAAGUUAACAGUGCAUUAGUAAUAUCAAACAGAUGCUGAAUAGUUGCUCGUAGAAGCUUCACAGAACUCAAAUUAUAUAUUUAAAUACCCUAUUCUUUAUCAAACUUUCAAAAAGAAAAUAUUGGUUCUCUUUCUUUUAUGAUGGAUGUGCCUUGAGAAGAAAAAUGAGAUAUUAGACCACUUUUUCUUUGCUUUUCUACCAAUAUAAUUAACAGCAGUUUCGCUUUUUGGGGGAAAAGCCAAGAAAUAUUAGUUAGUAGCAAUAAGUUUGUCCAUCAUUUCUUCUCGGCUCCUCUGUUUUAAAGUCAAGAGAAAGCAAGGAAACUUGCAACAGUUUCAAGGAGCUCGAUGAUUAAUUUUCUUUUUAAUCAAAAUUUUCUAAGUCCAUCACAUAAGAAAAUGUGUCAUGUUUAUCAUAAUAAAAUGCUACAGAAGAAUGUUAAAAACUUCUACAUGCAAUGAUUUGUUUCAGGAUAUGAAUUUCUUUCAUUUGUUUUCUUGUUGAAGUAUAUGAAAAUUCCUCUACGAAUAAACCCAUAAUUGAAAAGGUAAAACUCACCUUGUCUUGCUCGUACUAGACAGAUAAGAACAUGCUGAUUCUAGACUGGAUGCAAUAUCUGCAGUUAUCCUCAAUCUCUGCAUAUGAUAUCUCGUGACUUCAGUUCGGGUGAUUCUCUUAUCUAUUACCAGUGCUCUCAUUCCUCGAAAUUCUGACACAGCUGGUUUAUACUGGGCCCACUUCGUAUCUAGAGAACUUGUUUUUCCUCUCUCAAAUGACCCAGUAAAUGAAAAGGUACUGCCAACGCCAGGAACACUCACAAACCCUAUCUCCCCACACAUGAGAUCUACCAGACGUUUGCUAAUGCUCAAUCCAAUUCCAGUUCCACCAUAAGUUCUAGAAGUGGAACUAUCAGCCUGCAUAAAAGGUGUGAAGAUGCGACUUUGUGCUUCUAAUGGAAUACCUACACCAGUAUCCUCAACUGUUACGAGUAAUUUUAUCAUAUCAGGUUCCUCCACUGUUGUGCUGCUUAAAGUUUUGAAACAUUCCCAGCUUUUCCUUCUAUCAACCACAGGAAAGCCACUCAAUGUAUUAUAAGUUUUGUUUGAGAGGUCUCCAACUAAAUUCAAGCCUUGUCUUAGAACUUCAUCCAUAAAAUCAGGUGGACCCCUCACUUCAUUUGCCAGAUGCACCGAGACAAAUAUAUGUCCUUUAUCAUGGGUGAACUUCAGUUCAAACAAACAAACAAUUAGCACAGCAAUUAAAACAUAUUAACUUUUCUGAAAUGUAGAAAUGAACAAAGAGAAGGGAAGAGUUAUCUCCAAACAAACAUCAGGAAACAUAUCUAACCUUAAUAGAAUUCCCAACCAAGUUAGUAAUUAUCUGCCUAAGGCGUCCUGGAUCUCCAAUGACAACUUCUGGAACCAUAUUGGAGACAUAAACAGCCAACUUUUCUCACACAAAACAAAACCAAAAACCAUAAUUUUGUAAGAACUGAUAUAAAUACCACAGAAAGAAUCAAAUAAGAAUGCUAUACUUUGAUUUUUUUCCUUUUUUUCUUUUUACCUCAACCCCUUUUUCAUUCGUUUUUCCUGAGAAAAGUGAUAGCACAUUAUCAAGCACCGAUCGUAGAUCAAAAGGUACAGUUUCAAGUUCCAGCCGUCCUGAUUCUAUCUUGGCCUGAUCAAGAACCUCAUUUAUAAGCGAGAUAAGAUCUCUUCCACUAGCAAGAGCAGUCUCAGCAUAAUCUUGUUGAUUUGCAUCAAGAUUUGUGUCCAUCAGCAUUUGCAGCAUACCUGGAUUUUGAUAGGAGAACCAUCAAAAUAUGUAAACUUGUAAGUUUUGCAAAAUAGUAACUGUUUCACAAAGAAUUUUCUCCCUUACCUAAAACACCAUUCAUUGGUGUCCGGAUUUCAUGGGAAACAGUUGCAAGGAACUGCAGUAGAGAGAGAAGUCAGGCAACAUGAACAGACAGAAAUGUCUUCUAAUUGACAAAUAACUAUAGGUUGAAGGAGAAAUUUUUAUAGCUAACCGAAAAAGAAAAAAAAGACAACUUGUACCUGAGAUUUGGCCACAUCUGCAGCUUCUGCGCGAACUUUGAGUUCCAUCAUCUCACAAAAGUCUGCCUCUACCUUUGCUAUUUGGCUUAUGGCCGCAUAAAAUAUAUGACCAAGUAGAAAUGUAAUGACAAGAAAUGCUACUGAUGCACUUACUGCCGUCCACGGAAAAGGAGGUUUAUGCUUAAACCUGCAAUCCAAAUGAAACUGUUUUCAUUGGAAAAAUAAAAAAUAAAAAAAUAAAAAAAAUAAAAUCCACUUAUUGAGGCUGAUUUAUAAAAUUAAAGAUCUAUCGGAUCUAACCUGCAGUGCAUUUCAUGUUUGCGUUGUGGAUCACCGAAAUCAAGGCUGCUAAUAUGCAACAGCCCAGUAUCAACAACAUCAGUUCCAUACAUGUUGAUCAGAGAAGACGCGUUAGUUGCAUCAUAAACAUUCACAACAAUUGUUUGCUUUGUUGCAAGUUGGUGCAGGAGCUUCUCCACAAGAGAUGGAACAUCGUAAGAUGCACCUAAAUACCUAUUAUAAAGCAUUAUAGCAAUUAUUAAGAAAAAAGAAAGAAAAAAAGAGUAAAAAAAAAACACAUGGUUGCAAAUGUACCCCACAGUUGCUUGAAUUCGUUCUUCUGAUGUGGCAUCUGGAGGCAAGUCGAUAUUAUACACAGCAAAUGUGAGAACAACACCCAGGUGAUUGGAUUUCAAUAGCUUAAAAGGGGAAGUCAGUACUCCCUUUCCUGUUGACCUUGCUCGCAAGAUGUUCUCACGGUCAUCCUACAUUGUUUAAUCAACAAUUUUUAACAUCAGCAUACGUGAAUGAUUAAUGGAAAUUAGAAUAUGGCUUCGGAAAAACUGACUGUAAACGCAAUUAUUAAUAUAUUCUGUACACAAGUUUGAUGACACCAUGGACUAUGGGUAGAUACAGCUCCUCAUUAAAAGGGGCUGGCUAUAACUAAAAAAGAACUGACCAAUAAGUAGGUCCACAAGAACCAAAAGUGUGUCUUUUGAAACCACAUCACCAUGACAAAGCAAAAGAAUCAAUAACUAUAUACAACAUACACAUGCAGAUUCUAAUCUAUCGAAGAUGUACUAAUUUUACAUUCCAAUAUGGUUUUAAUUUAGUAAAGACAUACACAGGAACAAAGGAGUUGAAGAUGUAAGUGUUAAGAGCCCUGGGGUACAGCAGGCAAUAUUUUUUUAAAUGAAAAUAGGAGAGAGAGACAGAAAGAAGAAAGAAAAAAGGCAAACCUUUCCCGACAUCAUGUCAAUGGAGACAAUAUGGGAGACCGUUUCUUGAGAAAAUAUCACUGGUGCAUAUUCAUCUUGAAUAGGAGCAGGAUCCAAGCUUUCCGGAAGAAAAUCUUGGACAAGAGUCUGGUCCUCAGUUUCCAUUUUCUUUAUUGUCCAUCCAUGUUCCCUCUCAAAUUGUUCCCUCUCAGCAUGAGUAACUUUUAAAGCAUAAGCAACACCACUAGUGAGUGGUCUCUCAAAAGCUGUUCUUUCUGUGUAUUCACCGAACGUUUUCUGUUGAAAAAAAAAUAUAUAUAUCAUUCACAAUCACAUAGCAGAUCAUAGGAGUAAAGUCACUGCUUUUUUGCGUUCUUCCAAAUUCUUCUUUAUAGUAUAAAAUCCUUGAAUCGCAGUUAUACAGCAGCUAAUAAGCUGAGUAAAGGCAAUGGAACAAAUGACCACCCCAUCCCUUUAAAGUUAUUUAUAUAUAGACCACAUAUAGACCAAAAAAGGGAUGGAAGUCAUGGAACUACAAUAUGAUAUUCAGUAAAAGCGCCAAUUAACUAAUACGGUAUUGUCAACUGUUUAAUAUAUGUAGGUGUGUGUGUGUACAAAACCCUUUGCAUUUACAUUUAUUUACUGCGAUGCUCAAAACUUGUUUACCUAUCCUAGAGAUAGAAGCGGUGCUUAAAGACUUGCAGUACUAUACUCUGAGUGUAUAACUCACUAGUAACACACGUCUUAAAAUAUAUAUUUCUAAGAUGGAUUCAUCAAAACAUUGGUUUUGAUUCACAAUUAAAGCAAUCUGGAUGCCACUGAAAUGAGUUAUUCUAUUGAUAUGAUUGAUGACUUGAGAAAUAUAAUCCAGUAACCCAAAAGCAACAUUAGGGUAGGUAGGGCACAUACCUGAUCAAUGGCAGAAGGAUGCUUCCCAUGGUGAAACGUGGAGACAAGAAUGGCUAAAGCAUGAACAUGAUUCAGGCUCACAUUGAACUGAUCUUGCAACAUUCGGGCUCGUUCAUCACACAUGUUGGCAAGUGUUUCUUCUCUCCACAAAAAAUCUAUUUCAUUCAAGUAGAAAAAUAACCAAAUUGACACAAGAGCUCCAAGUACGACAAAUACGAUUAGGAGCUUCUUCCUCCAAGUGCAUGCGACCUUUCGAGGACUUUGGGUUUGUUGCUGUUUCUCUGGCAGCUUCCUACUACCGAAUGACUGUUCUUGAACCAUUUUCUGCUGGCAGGAACACCCACGAACCAGCUUCUGCUUCUGGUUCCUCCAUAAUUGGUAGCACAAAUUCAUCCCAACAAAAACCAAUGAACAUCCCAUCAUCAAACCACAAUCAAUAUGAGAAUCCACUUUUGCGCACUCUACCUUUGCGCCUGAUCCCAAUGCGUCCUAAUAAAAGCACAAGCAAAAACAAACAAAAAAGAACUCAGAUUAGUAUAUUCUUUCCAGAUUAGAAAGACUUGUAAUGUACUGGAGAUUAUCCUCAGAUAAACAAUCCCUCAUCUAUUUUUUUUUACAAAUGUAACUAUACGAAUUUGGACUGUGGAAAGCGUAUUAGAUGCAUGUCCAUGAAAGAUAUCAUACCUAUGACUCAAGUAGGACAGAACAAUGAAAAGAACAUAAGGGUCCAUGAGGUUCCAUUUAGAUCUCCAAGACUCAUUAUUCUGCUUUUCCCAUUUGUUUGUUCAGUAUUGUUGUUGUAUUCUACAUUUUUUCCCCUUAACCUAGUAAUAAUAUUUGGAGCAGAACCUCCUUAGUUGAUUAUCUGACCCUUCACAGAUAUUCAGCCUUUCUCUGGUGUAUAAAAACCAGACUAGAUUGACUGGUUGAACCUGGUUAAUUAUUUUGGUUCUCUUUCUUUAAUGAUUCAAGAGGGGUUGUUCAUGGUUCACAUAACAUAGUCAGCAGCAUGCAUAUAAUGUAUAGAAAAUUUGGAAUCUGAAUUGUUCCAAGUCAAAGUUCUACCUUUUGACAAAUCCUAUGAGUGGAUACUGUAGACUGCGGAAUUUGUGCCAAUGAAUUUUCUUGUAGCAAUGAUAGGUCAAGCAUUCUGGGGAUGUUUUCAUCUUGCGCCAGGCAUUGGUCCUCAGCUUCUACAUAUUCUGCAACCCAUUUAUGAUGCUCUUGAAAUUCUCUCUCAUCUGAACACAAUGCCUUCAGAGCACAGGAAAUGCCAUCAGUUAAAAGCAUCGCAGGUCCUGUUUCUUUGGUACAUUCAAGGGAUGCUAUCUGCCAUGCACACAGAGACUAGUAAGACAAACUGGAAAAAGGCAACAUGUAAAAGCUUCAAUAAACAUUUUACUGUAACUAUGCAAUUCAUUCCGCUCGAUACAUCUGCAAUUGAUCGAGGGGAAUGAAUUGCUAUGCUCCAGUCCGUCUCGGGAGGCUUCUAGCAUAUGAUCUCUUAAAGCGACACCAUCUCAUUGUAAUUGAUCAAAAUUUACAACUUAGUUCAUACAAUUGCCAGAAGAAUAGAACUGCAGCAUCACAACACAAUGCCAUAUAGGAAAUUUUUAGGGAUUUUGCAAACAUUCCCAGUUGGGUACCUAUCAGCCACCGUCAACCUUUCCCAUCCCCUCUUCUAAGGAAGGAAGGGAGGAAGGGGGGAGGGAAGAUGAGAUGGGUGCCAAUUGGGUAUUUCUGCCAACCCUUACCAAAGCUAAUAGAAGAUCGUUUGGUAUUAUAACUUUACCAUAAUCUACGGAUUUGGCUAGACUAUAUCCUGCAUUUAUGCACAUACUGAAGUACAUAAACUGAAGAACUUAAGGUUUUAGAGAAACCAGGAAUUUAAUAAUGAAGUAUACCAAAUGGAUGAUCCCAAUUAACUAUGGAAAAUCCAAAAACCAGAAGAGGAAGCCAAGUUCCCAAAUUAGUCUUGUGUCUUCCAGACAUUCCAAUUCACUCCCACAUCAAAGUGCAUACAACUGGAAGAUCACAAUCUAGGUAUGAAGCCAAGUAAGGGAACAUCAUGAAGAACAGUAGAAGGAAGCUACCAUGUUUUAGUUUAUGUUAUUGUUUACAAAUUCUUAGCAACUUCGAAACAGAUAAAAAGGAAAAGGGCAGAAUCAAAGAGCUUAGCGUCACCUGAUCUGAUUCGGAGAACAAGGAAGCUAAAGCCAGAAGCUGGUUCUUGCCGACAUUGAAAUGCUGCUGCAAGAUUGGAGCUUUCUUUCCACACAUCUCUGGAGUCUUCUCUUUAAUACCCAUAAUUCCCUCAUUGGAACCCAAUAAGAACCAAACAAUUGUAAUACAACCUAAAAUCCCAAGAAGUAGAAGAAACUUUCUUCUUGAAUAUGUGACACAAUUAGGCCCAUCCAAGGGCUCCAUUGCCUUGUUUAACUUGAAACUAGCAGAUAAUCUGCCAUUAAACCCAGACACCCUGCAUUGCAGAUUCAUGCUACUAAAACCACACUACUCUAACUGAUCCCCUAAGCUCUAAAAACCCAGAUAAAUCUUCACCAGAAGGAGCACACCAAACCCACAUAAAGAUCAAUGAUUUGAGACAUACAAGUGAAAUAUAAUGGAACCCACUUGAGGUUUCAACUGAAUUAUACCACCAAGUGGUCCAACACCUUUUUACCCUCAAAACCUUGUCUGUUUUUUUUUAACCCACUUCAACACCAAGUGCAUUUCUUUGUGGAACCUGCAAACUCAUCAAAGCCACGACUCUUCUUGUGUACAACUCUGAACAUAGGUACCCACCAAUAAUGCUGAAACGAACAAUAAUUUGGGCAACCCGUGAAGAAAUCAUUAAGAAGAAGAAGAAGAAAAAUGGAGUCUCUUCUAAUAUCUGGCUCUUUCUACAGUUGCGUUCCGUCAGAGAGAAGAAGCAUCCGCAGUGAAAUAAGAGAGAGAGAAACCCUGCACCAAAAAAGUUGGAUUGGACUGAAAUUGGUUUAUGUAAGAUUCCAAACUGGAAUCAAUUAUCAGAGUGAGACUGAGAGACUGAGAGAAAAGAAAAAGGAAAUUACAAUGUGUGUCCCUUCGAUUCUUCUUUCUCUAGUUUGAACUUUGAACCCCACACCGAAGUGACCAAACCGAACAGAGAACAGAGACCCCCACCCAACCAUGUUGAUGACGUGUCGGCCUGAGAUUCUUUUACCGGGUUUUUUAUAUUUCUUUUUUAUAAUGAGAGGAAAAAGGUUGAAACGUUUUGGACGGUAGCUGUACAGAGGUCCCUACGCUGUCAACUUCGUCAGGAUUUGGGUUUUGGCGCCUUCUCGGCCUUUUCUACGAAACUAAGACCGUGUUUGGUUGUGUACCAUUGAGAAUUGUACAGCCCGCUAUGGUAGGUCUAAAUCAACCGGAUAAAGCACUUACAAAAUGGGUUCCGGAAAAUUCUGCUAUACCUGAGGGUAUCUUAUGCCUGCUGAAUUUCAUGACCAAUUUUGAAACCAAUCAGGACCCCGUACUGCUGAAAACCCUCCUCUUUUAGUGGAGAAAUUUUUCAGUGUUACGGAAAGAUCACGUGGCAGUCUGACGUGGUCCUACAUUCUAAUCAAAUUUAGACAUGUGGAUUUUCUUCAUAAAAAUUAUUUAAGCUAUUUUAUUAAAGAUCAUUUUGGGUUUUAUGUUGUUUUUUAAAUACUAAACCCUAAUCCCUAAACCCUAAACCCUAAACCCUAAACCCUAAAACCUAAAUCCUAAACCCUAUACCCUAUACCCUAAACCCUAGACCCUAGGUUGAACUUGCUAAAUACCCAUAAAUGUCAUUUCACAAAAAAUAGAAAAUAUUUGUUUAUAUUUUAGUUGUAAAAAAUCUACAUGUCUAAAUUUAAUUGGAAUGUAGGACCACGUCAAACUGUCACGUGGUCCUCCCGUACAACUUAAAAAUUUCUCCUUUUUUUUAGGGCCAAUUACAUAGAAGUCCACUUUAAGACAUUUUAUCUUAUAUAAGUCCACCCAAACAUUUUUACCCAUAUAAGUCCACCCAAGCCUAAAUAAAGGUAUUAAAGUUCAACUAAAUUACAGACCGUCAUCUAACCAAAAAAUUAGAAUUUCUCUCUUAUAUUUACAAAAAUGCCACUAAUUAAAAAAAGUCAACAACCACUCUCUUACCCGAAAAAGUCUCCGGCAGACCUCCGGCGAGGUCUCUGACGGACUCCGGCCGACCUCCGGCGAUGUCGCCGGCCGACUUUCGACGAGGUUUCCGACGGUUACAAAAGCUACUACCGCCACCAAUAAAAACUACUAUCCCUAGCUAGAAAAGCUACUACCACAGACUACAAAAGUUACUACAGUCAACAACAAAAGCCACUAUCCCUAGCUUUUUACUACCACCGAUUACAAAAGCUACUACCGCCAGCAAGAAAAACUACUUUCGCCAGCAACAAAAACUACUAUCCGUAGCUAGAAAAGCUACUACAGCCAACAACAAAAGCUACUACCACCGACUACAAAAGCUACUACCGUCACUAACAAAAACUACUACUGCCAGCAACAAAAACUACUACCAUCAGAAAUUAAAACUACUACUGUCAGCAACAAAAGCUGCCAUAAUCUGUAAUAAAAGCUACUACUAAGCACAAUAAAAGAUAUUACCAAGUAUUACCAAAUGGCUAAAAUAAAAUAUGUAUGUAUUACACUCGUCAUAUCCCUUGUAUGAAUUUUCUUGAAACAACAAAAACAAAUAGAAAAUUCACACAAGGCUACGACGCUUGCGUCUAACGCUCACGUCGCACCAUAAUAGCAUUUUACCUCAUUAUGGUGGAAAAGACGGUGUAUAAAUAUAUAUACGCGCAUAUCCCCUAUAUAAAUUAUUAUAUUUAUAUAGGGCUACGACGAUUGCGUCUAACGCUCACGUCGCACCAUAAUAGAAUUUUACCUCAGUAUGGUGGAAAAGCACGUAUAGCUAGCUAGCAUUCUCUCAUAUACAUAUUAUUCUCAUAAUCACCCACAUAUGGAUAUAUAUAUAUAUAUACUCACCGAAAUUCUCAAUUUCGGUUAUUCUCUAACAACAUAAAUUAUUUCGCAUGCACAUUAUUUAAAACAAAAGUCCACUCAUAAAUUAGGCCUAAGCCUGAUGUCGAUCUGGGGUCUCGUCUGCUCGAGCCUCCUCACGUCCUGAUCCAAAUAUAAUAUUAAUUUCCCAACUAACAAUCCAAUAAUUAAUCAAAAUAGGCAAAAUUACCCGAGAGCCAUAAACACGCUCAUCAUUGCCUAACUUCGAUAUUCUUAAAUCGGAACGAUCCGAACUUAAAUAUCAUCCUCGGCAGUCGUAAAUAUAACCUCCCCAAAAAUACGACUUAAAUCUUACGGCCGGAUUCUACAUUAAUUAACCGCCAAAAAUACCAAACUUCGGAAAUUCACAAACCUAUCCAAAUCUCAUCCAAAAAUUCCAUAAAUCACCUCAAUAUAAUCCCUUUAAUAUUCCACAUUUAAAACCCUAAAAAUCUCCCAAACCGGCGGCGGCCGGAGGCCAAAUCCGGCGACCUCCAAUUCCUAUGAAAUUUUAACAGCAUCUUCCUCUCAUCAUGCUCUACAACUUUCCUAACUAGCACAAACCCAAAAUCCAAGCCUAGCUAUGCCAAUCGAACAAAAACAUCAAAAACGCCCUAGAGCUUCCACCUCAAAUUUCUCCUUACCGAAGCAAACCGGAGUGAGUCCUUUUAGGGCAAGGCAGCUGGGUUGGAGACCUACAAAACCAUACCAAGCUUGCCCGGAUUGGUGGCCGGAGGAGGGAGUUCCGGCGAAAAGCUUCCCGGCGUUUCCGGCGGGUUUUCUCCUCUUCCGGCGGGUUAGAGGCUCGGGGGCUAGGCCGGGGAGGGAGAGGAGGAGAUGGGGGUCCGAACUGAGGUGGAGAGGGGGCAGAUGGUGGCCGGACGGCGGCAGGAGCACGGCUAGAAAACCGGGAGAGAGAGAGAACCGGGAGGAGAAAAGAGAAGAAAAGAGAAAAUGGGUUUGGGCCUCACUCCCCAGACCGGUCCAAGCUUAUAACAACCCAAUUCCAAAAAUAAAACACCCCGAAAAAUAAUACCCGAAUAAAAAAUUACCUUUUACUAGCUAAAAUUUACAAUUUUUACCGUCGUCGUAACUUUCUCCUACGAAUAAUCCUCCGUACAUAAUCGUCCCCGAAACUCCUCUAGGGACCAAUUAAACUAUUAACUGAAUGACGAAGACGGUAAAAUUCUUAUUAUAAUCAAGCUAGUAAAUAAGGUAAAAAUAUAAGGGUCGGGAUGUGACAAUUCUCCAAUCCUUAUAAAAAUUUCGUCCUCGAAAUUUGCAUACCUGUCAUCCGAAGAGAUAGGGAUACUGCUGCAUCAUUUGCUCCUCUGAUUCCCAAGUAGCUUCUUCUACUUGAUGACUUCUCCAAAACACCUUGACAAGCGGAAUUGUCUUGUUCCUAAGCACUUGCUCCUUUCGGUCGAGAAUCUGAACCGGAUCCUCUUCAUAGGACAAAUCUCUCGUCAAACUAAUCGGCUGCUCUUGCAGCACAUGAGAAGGAUCGGCAAUAUACUUGCGAAGCAUGGAUACAUGAAACACAUUAUGUAUCCUAGCUAACUCUGGAGGCAAAAGUAGCCGAUAAGCAAGUGAGCCAACUCGCUUUAUAAUCUCAUAAGGGCCAAUAUACCUCGGAUUAAGCUUCCCACGCUUACCGAAGAGCACAACCCCUUUCCAAGGAGAUAAUUUCAGGAACACCCAAUCCCCCUCUUGAAAUUCAAGAUCUCUCCUACGGACAUCUGCAUAACUCUUCUGCCUACUUUGAGCGGUUUUGAGUCUAUCUCUAACCACUUUAAUCUUCUCAUUCGUAACAUGGAUUAACUCUGGGCCGCAAAGCUCUUUUUCCCCUACUUCAUUCCAACACAAAGGCGUGCGACACUGCCUCCCAUAAAGAGAGAGAGAGAGAGAGAGAGAGAGAGAGAGAGAGAGAGAGAGAGAGAGAGAGAGAGAGAGAGAGAGAGAGAGUAGAGAGAGAGUAGAGAGAGAGAGAGAGAGAGUAGAGUAGAGUAGNNNNNNNNNNNNNNNNNNNNGAGAGAGAGAGAGAACCAAAUGAACGGGUGAGAGGCAGAGGUGAGAGAUGUGAGAUAUUUUGAAGCAUAAGGGUAAGAUAGUCAUGAUAAAAACAAUUGAGCCUUUAAAGUUGACUUGUGUGGGUAAAAAUAUUAGAAUGGACUUAUUAAGAAGAAAAUGUCUCCAUAUAGGCUUACAUGAAAUUUUCUAUUUUUUUUAAACUAAGUGAUAGGUAUGUUAUACGCUCAGGAAUAGCAGACAAAUGGGUUCAUUACAUAUAAAUCUAUUUUGAGAAAUUUUAUCCUACAUAAGUUCAUUUAAACAUUUUUACUCAUAUAAGUCCACCCGAACUUAAAUUCAAUUUUAAUAUUAGGUAUUAAAGUUCAAUAAAAUUACAGACUGUCAUCCAACAAAAGAAAAAUUAAAUUCUCUCUUAUAUUAACGAAAAUGCCACUAGUGUAAAAUGUCAACAACCAUGCACUCUCCAUUCCGAAAAAGUCUCCGGCUGACUUUCAACGUGUCUCCGGUCAACCUUCGGUGAAGUUUCCGACCGAUCUCCGAUGUGGCUCUUGCCGACCUCCGACGAGGUUUCCGGCCGACUUCCGGCGAUCACAAAAGCUACUAUCACCAACAGCAAAAGCUACUACCCUCAACUACAAAAGCUACUACGGUGAGAUUUCCGACAACCUCCAACGAGGUCAUAAAAGAUACUAUCACCAGUAACAAAACCUAUUACCGUUAUCAAGAAAAGAACUACCGCAAAAGGUCAUAAAAGAUAUUAUCACCAGUAACAAAACCUAUUACCGUUACCAAGAAAAGAACUACCGCAAAAGCUGCUGUCAACAAUAGCAAAAGGUCAUAAAAGAUAUUAUCACCAGUAACAAAACCUAUUACCAUUACCAAGAAAAGAACUACCGCAAAAGCUGCUGUCAACAAUAACAAAAGUUACUACCCCCAGCUACAAAAGCUACUAUGGUAAGAUUUUCGACGACCUCUGGCGAGGUCAUAAAAGAUAUUAUCACCAGUAACAAAACAUACUACCACCACCACCAAGAAAAGAACUACCGCAAAAGCUACUGUCACCAAAAGCUACUACUGUCGGCAAGAAAAGCUACUAUCACAAAAGCUAUUGUCAGUAACACUAAAAGUAUUGCUACCUUUAGUAAAAGCUACUAUUGUUGGCAAGAAUUUUAUAUUAAUGUCUAGGAUGGCCAGGAUUUCAAAACGAAAUAAGAAUGUCCACAUUUUAAUGUACAUAUGAAAAAAACUGAUACUCAAGUACAUAUGAACAUUCGUAGUGCUGAUACUCACAUAACAAGGAGAUAUGCAAAAGAAAUUUGCUAGCGUAUCUUCUUUUACAUUUGGUAAGAAGGGGACCUAAUGUAUUACAUAUGUGCAUUUCUAUCUUGAUAAUAUUAAUACUACAAAUAUAGUUGUCAUACGAUUAAAACAAUGUAAACACCUCUCAUAAGUUUAGCUUACCUAGGGUAAAAAAGGUAAGAAAUCAAUGGUUGAAAUCAUUACCAUGAAAUACUUUCGCAAUCUUCAUUUGAGAUAAGAAUGCACCUGUGGUACGUGGGUCUAAAUCCAACUGGAUAAAGUACUUAAUUAUGAAGCCUUACAAAAUUUGUCAAUUUGAUGCCAAUGCAUGUGGCCCAUGUAUUGUUUUUAGGGGGAAAGCCUUAAACAUGCAUGGAGAUUUCAUGCAGACAAUGGUCCUCCGUCCUCCAUUGUGCUGACCUCCUGAUUUUGAUGGACAGAGUUUUA
rnacentral:lncRNA from 1 species